rnacentral:lncRNA from 1 species
AGGUACCAAGGCUGCAUUUGGAAUCCAAUGUUUUACUUACUCACUGUGCAUGGACUCAUAUCAGUAUGCCGUUGAUUACUGCAACAAGGAGUGCAAAAUACUUGGUUAUGACGGCCAGAAAGGCUACUGCAAGAAGGAGAAUCGUGGCGUGUGUUGUUGUGCCUAAAGUUAAAGACAUGUUAUAUUGUCAUUUUGUAGAAAAUCAUUGCAUGUAUUUGCUUGUCAGAAUACUAAUUUAUAUGGAUUAUACGAGAAUUUCAAUAACAUAUACUGGUAGUUGCUUUCGAAGACCAACUUGUCUAGCUUGCCGAUCAACUCUUCAGGUCAUAUGAAUCAACAAUGAGCCAGCUAAAAACUGGAAGUACUAAUAACUUAAAAAAUUAAAUUGGGGAGUGAAUUAAUGGAAAUAUAUGAGAAAUACAUUGGGUAUAUGAAAAUUUUUCAUUCAACGAUGCUAGUUAAUACCAACUAAUGGAUGUACAACUCAAAAAAGUCCAUAUUUGAACCCUGGACUAGCACAAAUGUCUAAGAACCAACCCCAAACUUUGAAACAAUCUAUCUUGCAAUUCUAAAUUGUCAAAGUCGAUCAACUUUCAACUUUUCCUCUCCUCAAACCGGUGUUUGGUGCGUUGAAGUGGUUUGGAACAAUUGAUUGCCUAGUCGGCUGCCAUGUCACUUAAUAUUUUUCCUGAAUAUGUAUUUUAUUGCAUGUUGUAAUCUGUUUGGCGGGAUCGGCCCUAAAGUUCAGAAAUAAUCAGAUAAUAGGAAUGGGCAUUUAAUGGCUACAACUCUUAUAUCCCAAAGAUAUAGCAUCCGGGCUACCAUACUAAACUUUUCUGUCACUAGUGUUCAGAAUAGCACUUCAUGGUCUACUCGCCGUUAGCCUCUCUAUGACUCACUCUCUGUGAUCCUAGGUACCUGCAAGGAUGAAGAAUGUAGAUCAGACAAGAGACAUCCAUGAAGCAAUUUUAUGUUACACAUACAGGACAAAUUCAACGUACUUCUAUAAAUCCCUCCAAUAAAUACAUAGGGUUGUAGGGCUAUGCCUCAACCCAUGAUGAUACCUUAGAUAUGGAGAACAGAUCACAAGUACAAUCCAUCAAACAAGACAUCAUGAAUAUUGAUUGAUAUUAUGUCUUACAAUAAUUGCCGGAUGUGAUAGACAAUUACAAAGUAUGGCUAGUUGGAUGAGUGCUUGGUGGGUGGAGAUGGUGGCGGCUAUGGAAAUGAGAUGGGAAAUGGCGGUGGCUAGGGUUAAUUUGGACGAUGACGAUUGAGGUUUGGGCGAUGCUCUGUUGCUAUUAUGGGAUUGAGCCCUUCAUGGUAUAUAUUUGUAGGAUUGGUCCAGGAGACCUUUAGCAGUGCAUACGAUAGCUCAUAUGAGUGUGUGCGGUCGUAUGGAACACCGUCUUGCUUUGUUCUUCCUGGAGUGUCUCCCACUUGAUCUCAUCUUUAUCCUCUUUACUCCCUUCCAUGUAUUGUCUUGAUUUCCUCCAUAUUUAGCCCAUUUCAUAUGGAAAUAAAAUAAAGAUCGGACAUUUGGAACCCUUUGCAUUGAUUAGUCAUUUGUAGUAAUAUCAAAGCGAAUAUAUUGGUUUUUAAGAAAUAUAUCGGUUUAUGCUCGUGUAUCAUCAGUCCAAGAACAACAAUCGUCAACUCCACCGAGCUUCGACUUGAUCAUCCUCGACCAACGUAGAGGCAAAUCCAUAACGUAAGGAACUCGGUUGUUUACACCAAAUAAAUGAUUAUGUUUUGCUUCACUUAUGAUCAGCACACCUAGAUAACCCAACACUUCUUGACUUCUAAACGUAGUAUAGGUAUAGCGGUGACAUGGUUAUUAUGCAAGUGUUAGUGAAGCAAAGAUAAUCAACACAAAGCUCUUGCUCAACUAGACAAAAUAACAAAGUAACACUUGAUUCUAUUUUUGCUACUGAACACUUGCUUUCUGGGAAUGCACGAAGGUGAUUGCAUUUCUUGAUCAAUGAAAGCAUGUAUUAGGGAGUGAAAUUUAUGCAAAGACGACAUCAUUCUAGAGUAACUCUAACUCACCCAGAAGUGUCUCAUCAUAAAGGCUCUCACGAACUUUAUUUAAAUCAUUGCUUGCUGAAUUUUUUGUUACCUGGUGAUGGGAUGCCAAAGAAAGGAUCAAAAAUAAGGGUUUUUUUGUGCUUUAAGUUUGAGUAAUAUGAACUAAUAUGUUGCGACUACGUACGGUAACAUACUUAUAACCGAAAUCGGAGUCGAAACUCUAGUGGAUCGUUCAUUGUCCAGUGGAUUUCUCGGCAUUACAUCAAGAAAGGUGACUUUCACAUUUACAUGCCUACACAACUAUGUAGUAGUAAGACCAUUACACCAGUGUGAAGCUGAAGCGCCAUGUACGAAUAUAGCAAAUGUUUUUGGCAUAAUAUCAUUCACCUUUCAACUAAGUUUCUUUGGAAAAUUUUAUCCACAAGGGCUAUAGAGUCUAUUAAAAUUGACACUAUAGGUUAGGUAUCUCUAACAACAUCUUCUCUAAAAGUUUUUUCAACACCCAGGUCUUGUGAGACUUUCUGUUGUGCAUGUUUAUUCUUUGUUAACAUAUCACUUUAUUUUAAUAGCCUGAUUUUCAUGGAUUACUUCAGAAAGUUUUGGAAAGUGGUUGCUCCGGUGCCCUGAGCCAUUCAAUGUUCGUAUUAUUAUAUGAAAUUUAAUGUGCAUGGAAACAACCACAAAAAUGUAACUUUGGCCCAUAAUAUUUUUGUUAUGUAAGGAUACAAGUCAAUGUGACAAUUAGAUUAUACCAAAACUAGGAAGAAACCAUUAAUACGAAAAAUGAUAAAGGGGCAAGAAUCAUUGUGCAUUCGCUCCUCUUCAAAAACACCGGUGCUAGAAAGAUACGUUCAUAGAAGGGAAAUAUCAAGCGAAAAUAAACACUGGUGCUGGAAAGAUACGUUCAGGGAAGGACGACAUCAGGAGAAAAUAAGUAAUAGCAUGGCAGUCUUGAUGAUGGCACUUAUCAAGAACAAGACACACAUUCUCUUUUGUGUUGCUCUUUUGUUGAUGUGUACCACUUUUCAGUGUGGCCUAGCGGUAGCGGGGAGGGACGUAGGUAAUUUCCAAAUUAGUUUCCUAGAUGACUUUCUUGCUAUAAAAUAGACCCAAAUGAUUAUGUAUCAUUCUUUCCAUACAUAUUAAUUUGUAUGUUGUGGUGCUUCCUUCAUUGUGUUUAGGUACCAAGGUUGCAUUUGGAAUCCAAUGUUUCACUUACUCAGUGUGCAUGGACUCAUAUCAGUAUACGGUUGAUUACCGCAACAAGGAGUGCAAAAUACUUGGUUAUGACGGCCAGAAAGGCUACUGCAAGAAGGAGAACCGUGGCGUGUGUUGUUGUGCCUAAAGUUAAAGACAAGUUAUAUUGUCAUUUUGUAGAAAAUAAUUGCAUGUAUUUGCUUGUCGGAAUACUAAUUUAUAUGGAUUUUACGAGAAUUUCAAUAACAUAUACUGGUAGUUGCUUUCGAAGACCAACUUGACUAGCUAGCCGAUCAACUCUUCAGGUCAUAUGAAUCAACAAUGAGCCAGCUAAAAACUGGAAGUACUAAUAAGUUAAAAAAAUUAAAUUGGGGAGUGAAUUAAUGGAAAUAUAUGAGAAAUACAUUGGGUAUAUGAAAAUUUGUCAUUCAACAAUGCUAGUUAAUACCAACUGAUGGAUGUACAACUCAAAAAAAGUCCAUAUUUGAACCCUGGACUAUCACAAAUGUCUAAGAACCAACCCCAAACUUUGAAACAAUCUAUCUUGCAAUUCUAAAUUGUCAAAGUCGAUCAACUUUCAAUUUUUCCUCUCCUCAAACCGGUAUUUGGUGCGUUGAAGUGGUUUGGAACAAUUGAUCGCCUAGUCGGCUGCCACGUCACUUAAUAUUUUUCCUCAAUAUGUAUUUUAUUGCAUGUUGUAAUAUGUUUGGCGGGAUCGGCCCUAUAGUUGAGAAAUAAUCAGAUAAUAGCAAUGGGCAUUUAAUGGCUACAACUCUUAUAUCCCAAAGAUAUAUGAUCCAAGCUAUUGUACUAAAUUUUCUAUCACUAGUGUUCAAAAUAGCACUUCAUGGUCUACCUGCCAUUAGCCUCUCUCUGACUCACUCUCUGUGAUCCUAGGUACCUGCAUGGACAAAGAAUGUAUAUGAGACAAGAGACAUCCAUGAAGCAAUUUUAUGUUACACAUACGGGACAAAUUCAAAGUACUUCCAUAAAUCCAUCCAAUAAAUACAUAGGUUUGUAGGGCUAUGCCUCAACCCAUGACGAUACCUUAGAUAUGGAGAAUAGAUCACAACUACAAUCCAUCAAACAACACAUCAUUAAUAUCGAUUGAUAAUAUGCCUUACAAUAAUUGUUGGAUGUGAUAGAUGAUUACAAAGUAUGGCUAGGUGGAUGAGUGCAUGGUGGGUGGAGAUGGUGGCGGCUAUGGAAAUGAGAUGGGAAAUGGCAGUGGCUAGGGUUAAUUUGGACGAUGAAGAUUGAGGUUUGGGCGAUGCUCUGUUUCUAUUACGGGAUUGAGCCCUUCAUGGUAUAUAUUUGUAGGGUUGGUCCAGGAGACCUUUAGCAGUCCAUACGAUAGCUCAUACGAGCGUGUGUGGUCCUAUGGAACAUCGUCUUGCUUUAUUCUUCCUGGAGUGUCUCCCACUUGAUCUCCUCUAUAUCAUGUUUACUCCCUUCCAUGUAUUGGCUUGAUUUCCUCCAUAUUUAACCCAUUUCCUAUGGAAAUAAAAUAAAGAUCAGACAUUUGGAAUCCUUUGCAUUGAUUAGUCGUUUGUAGUAAUAUCAGAGCGAAUAUCUUGGUUUUUAAGAAAUAUAUCGGUUUAUGCUCAUGUAUCGUGAGUGCAAGAACAACGAUCGUCAACUCCACCGAUCUUAGACUUGAUCAUCCUCGACCAACAUAGAGGCAAAUCCAAAACGUAAGGAACUCAGUUCUUUACACCAAAUAAACGAUUAGGUAUUGCUUCACUUAUGAUCAGCACACCUAGAUAACCCUACACUUCUUGACUUUUAAACUUAGUAUAGGUAUAGCGGUGACAUGGUUAUUAUGCAAGUGUUAGUGAAGCAAAGAUAAUCAACACAAAGCUCUUGCUCAACUAGACAAAAUAACAAAGUAACACUUGAUUAUAUUUUUGCUACUAAAAACUUGCUUGCCGGGAAUGCACGAAGGUGAUUGCAUUUUUGAGCAAUGAAAGCAUGUAUUAGGGAGUGAAAGUUAUGCAAAGACAACAUCAUUCUAGAGUAAGUCUAACUCACCCAGAAGUGUCUCAUCAUCAAGGCCCUCACGAACUUUAUUUAAAUCAUUGCUUGCUGAAUCUUUUGUUGUCUGGUGAUGGGAUGCUAAUGAAAGGAUCAAAAAUAAGGUUUUGUUGCACUUUAAGAUUGAGUAAUAUGAACUAAUAUGUUGUGACUGUUGGGGAACAUAGUAAUUUCAAAAAAUUUCCUACGCACACACAAGGUCAUGGUGAUGCAUAGCAACGAGAUGGGAGAGUGUUGUCUACGUACCCUCGUAGACCGAAGCGGAAGCAUUGAUGCACCGUAGAGGAAGUAGUCGUACGUCUUCUUGGUCCAAUCGAUCCAAGCACCGUUACUCCGGUACCUCCGAGUUCUUGGCACACGUUCAGCUCGAUGAUGCUCCCCGGGCUCCGAUCCAGCAAAGCUUCCGGGAGGAGUUCCGUCAGCACGACGGCGUGGUGACGAUCUUGAUGUUCAACCGGCACAGGGCUUCGCCUAAGCACUGCUAUAAUAUGACCGAGGUGGAAUAUGGUGGGGGGGGGCACCGCACACGGCUAAGGAACAAUCACAAAGAUCAACUUGUGUCUCUAGGGGGUGCCCCUGCCUCCGUAUAUAAAGGUUCAAAGGGGGGGGGGUCCGGCCGGCCUAGAGGUGGCGCACCAGGAGGAGUCCUACUCCCUCCGGGAGUAGGACUUCCCCCCAAUCCUAGUUGGAAUAGGAUUCGCGAGGUGGGAAAAGAGGGAGAGAGAAGGAGGGGGCGCCGGCCCCCUCUCUCCUUGUCCUAUUCGGACUAGGGGGAGGGGCGCGCGGCCCAGCCCUGGCCGCCUCUCCUCUUCUUCCACUAUGGCCCAGUAAGGCCCGGGGGGUUCCGGUAACCUCCCGGUACUUCGGUAAAAUCCCGAUUUCACGCGGAACACUUCCGAUAUCCAAAUAUAGGCUUCCAAUAUAUCAAUCUUUAUUUCUCGACCAUUUCGAGACUCCUCGUCAUGUCCGUGAUCUCAUCCGGGACUCCGAACAACCUUCUGUUCAUCAAAAUGCAUAAACUCAUAAUAUAACUAUCAUCGUAACCUUAAGCGUGCGGACCCUACGAGUUCGAGAACAAUGUAGACAUGACCGAGACAUGUCUCCGGUCAAUAACCAAUAGCGGAACCUAGAUGCUCAUAUUGGUUCCUACAUAUUCUACGAAGAUCUUUUAUCGGUCAGACCGCAUAACAACAUACGUUGUUCCCUUUGUCAUCGGUAUGUUACUUGCCCGAGAUUCGAUCGUCGGUAUCCAAUACCUAGUUCAAUCUUGUUACCGGCAAGUCUCUUUACUCGUUCCGUAAUACAUCAUCUCGCAACUAACUCAUUAGUUGCAAUGCUUGCAAGGCUUAUGUGAUGUGCAUUACCGAGAGGGCCCAGAGAUACCUCUCCGACAAUCGGAGUGACAAAUCCUAAUCUCGAAAUAUGCCAACCCAACAUGUACCUUUGGAGACACCUAUAGAGCUCCUUUAUAAUGACCCAGUUACGUUGUGACGUUUGGUAGCACACAAAGUGUUCCUCCGGCAAACGGGAGUUUCAUAAUCUCAUAGUCAUAGGAACAUGUAUAAGUCAUGAAGAAAGCAAUAGCAACAUACUAAACGAUCGGGUGCUAAGCUAAUGGAAUGGGUCAUGUCAAUCAGAUCAUUCACCUAAUGAUGUGAUCCCGUUAAUCAAAUAACAACUCUUUGUCAAUGGUUAGGAAACAUAACCAUCUUUGAUUAACGAGCUAGUCAAGUAGAGGCAUACUAGUGACACUCUGUUUGUCUAUGUAUUCACACAUGUAUUAUGUUUCCGGUUAAUACAAUUCUAGCAUGAAUAAUAAACAUUUAUCAUGAUAUAAGGAAAUAAAUAAUAACUUUAUUAUUGCCUCUAGGGCAUAUUUCCUUCAGUCUCCCACUUGCGCUAGAGUCAAUAAUCUAGAUCACAUCACCAUGUGAUUAACAUCGAUAGUUCACAUCAUCAUGUGAUUAACACCCAUAGUUCACAUCGCCAUGUGACCAACACCCAAAGGGUUUACUAGAUUCAGUAAUCUAGUUCACAUCGCUAUGUGAUUAACACCCAAAGAGUACUAAGGUGUGAUCAUGUUUUGCUUGUGAGAGAAUCUUAGUCAACGGGUCUGCCACAUUCAGAUCCGCAUGUACUUUGCAAAUUUCUAUGUCAACAAUGCUCUGCAUGGAGCUACUCUAGCUAAUUGCUCCCACUUUCAAUAUGUAUCUAGACCGAGACUUAGAGUCAUCUAGAUUAGUGUCAAAACUUGCAUCGGCGUAACCCUUUACGACGAACCUUUUUCACUUCCAUAAUCGAGAAACAUAUCCUUAUUCCACUAAGGAUAAUUUUGACCGUUGUCCAGUGAUCUACUCCUAGAUCACUAUUGUACUCCCUCGCCAAACUCAGUGGUAGGGUAUACAAUAGAUCUGGUACACAGCAUGGCAUACUUUAUAGAACCUACGACUGAGGCAUAGGGAAUGACUUUCAUUCUCUUUCUAUCUUCUGCCGUGGUCGGGCUUUGAGUCUUACUCAACUUCACACCUUGUAACACAGGCAAGAAACUUUUUCUUUGACUGUUCCAUUUUGAACUACUUCAAAAUCUUGUCAAGGUAUGUAUUUAUUGAAAAAACUUAUCAAGCGUCUUGAUCUAUCUCUAUAGAUCUUGAUGCUCAAUAUGUAAGCAACUUCACCGAGGUCUUUCUUUGAAAAACUCCUUUCAAACACUCCUUUAUGCUUUGCAGAAUAAUUCUACAUUAUUUCCGAUCAACAAUAUGUCAUUCACAUAUACUUAUCAGAAAUGCUGUAGUGCUCCCACUCACUUUCUUGUAAAUACAGGCUUGACCGCAAGUCUUUAUAAAACUAUAUGCUUUGAUCAACUUAUCAAAGCGUAUAUUCCAACUCCGAGAUGCUUACACCAGUCCAUAGAUGGAUCGCUGGAGUUUGCACAUUUUGUUAACACCUUUAGGAUUGACAAAAACUUCUGGUUGCAUCAUAUACAACUCUUCUUUAAGAAAUCCAUUAAGGAUUGCAGUUUUGUUAUCCAUUUGCCAGAUUUCAUAAAAUGCGGCAAUUGCUAACAUGAUUCGGACAGAUUUAAGCAUAGAUACGAGUGAGAAACUCUCAUCAUAGUCAACACCUUGAACUUGUCGAAAACCUUUUGCGACAAUUCUAGCUUUGUAGAUAGUAACACUACUAUCAGCAUCCGUCUUCCUCUUGAAGAUCUAUUUAUUUUCUAUGGCUUGCCGAUCAUCGGGCAAGUCAACCAAAGUCCAUACUUUGUUCUCAUACAGGGAUCCCAUCUUAGAUUUCAUGGCCUCAAGCCAUUUUGCGGAAUCUGUGCUCAUCAUCGCUUCCUCAUAGUUCGUAGGUUCGUCAUGGUCUAGUAACAUAACUUCCAGAACAAGAUUACCGUACCACUCUGGUGUGGAUCUCACUCUGGUUUACCUACGAGAUUCGGUAGUAACUUGAUCUGAAGUUACAUGAUCAUCAUCAUUAGCUUCCUCACUAAUUGGUGUAGUAGUCAAAGGAACAGAUUUCUAUGAUGAACUACUUCCCAAUAAGGGAGAAGGUACAAUUACCUUAUCAAGUUUUCUACUUUCCUCCCACUCACUUCUUUCAAGAGAAACUCCUUCUCUAGAAAGGAUCAAUUCUUAGCAACGAAUGUCUUGCCUUCGGAUCUGUGAUAAAAGGUGUACCCAACUGUCUCCUUUGGGUAUCCUAUGAAGACAUAUUUCUCCGAUUUGAGUUUGAGCUUAUCGAGAUGAAACUUUUUCACAUAAGCAUCGCAACUCCAAACUUUAAGAAACGACAACUUUGGUUUCUUGCCAAACCAUAGUUCAUAAGGCGUCGUCUCAACGGAUUUUGAUGGUGCCCUAUUUAACGUGAAUGCGGCCGUCUCUAAAGCAUAACCCCAAAACGAUAGUGGUAAAUCAGUAAGAGACAUCAUAGAUCGCACCAUAUCUAGUAAAGUACGAUUACGACGUUCGGACACACCAUUACGCUGUGGUGUUCUGGGUGGAGUGAGUUGCCAAACUAUUCCGCAUUGUUUCAAAUGCAUACCAAACUCGUAACUCAAAUAUUCUCCUCCACGAUCAGAUCAUAGAAACUUUAUUUUCUUGUUACGAUGAUUUCCAACUUCACUCUGAAAUUCUUUAAACUUUUCAAAUGUUUCAGACUUAGGUUUCAUUAAGUAGAUAUACCCAUAUCUGCUUAAGUCAUCUGUGAAGGUGAGAAAAUAACGAUAUCCGCCACGAGCCUCAAUAUUCAUCGGACCACAUACAUCUGUAUGUACGAUUUCCAACAAAUCUGUUGCUCUCUCCAUAGUACCGGAGAACGGUGUUUUAGUCAUCUUGCCCAUGAGGCACGGUUCGCAAGUACCAAGUGAUUCAUAAUCAAGUGGUUCCAAAAGUCCAUCAGUAUGGAGUUUCUUCAUGCGCUUUAUACCGAUAUGACCUAAACGGCAGUGCCACAAAGAAGUUGCACUAUCAUUAUCAACUCUGCAUCUUUUGGCGUCAACAUUAUGAAUAUGUGUGUUACUACUAUCGAGAUUCAUCAAAAAUAGACCACUCUUCAAAGGUGCAUGACCAUAAAAGAUAUUACUCAUAUAAAUAGAACAACCAUUAUUCUCUGAUUUAAAUGAAUAACCGUCUCGCAUUAAACAAGAUCCAGAUAUAAUGUUCAUGCUCAACGCUGGCACCAAAUAACAAUUGUUUAGGUCUAAUACUAACCCCGAAGGUAGAUGUAGAGGUAGUGUGCCGACCGCGAUCACAUCGACUUUGGAACCAUUUCCCACGCGCAUUGUCACCUCGUCCUUUGCCAGUGUUCGCUUAAUCCGUAGUCCCUGUUUCGAGUUGCAAAUAUUAGCAACAGAACCAAUAUCAAAUACCCAGGUGCUACUACGAGCUCUAGUAAGGUACACAUCAAUAACAUGUAUAUCACAUAUACCUCUGUUCACCUUGCCAUCCUUCUUAUCCGCCAAAUACUUGGGGCAGUUCCGCUUCCAGUGACUAGUCUGCUUGCAGUAGAAGCACUUAGUUUCAGGCUUAGGUCCGGACUUGGGUUUCUUCUCUUGAGCAGCAACUUGCUUGCUGUUCUUCUUGAAGUUCCCCUUCUUCUUCCAUUUGCCCUUUUUCUUGAAACUAGUGGUCUUGUUGACCAUCAACACUUGAUGCUCCUUUUUGAUUUCUACCUCCGCAGCUUUCAGCAUUGCGAAGAGCUCGGGAAUAGUCUUAUUCAUCACUUGCAUAUUAUAGUUCAUCACGAAGCUCUUGUAGCUUGGUGGCAGUGAUUGGAGAAUUCUGUCAAUGACGCAAUCAUUUGGAAGAUUAACUCCCAUCUGAAUCAAGUGAUUAUUAUACCCAGACAUUUUGAGUAUAUGCUCACUGACAGAACUGUUCUCCUCCAUCUUGCAGCUAUAGAACUUAUUGGAGACUUCAUAUCUCUCAAUCCGGGCAUUUGCUUGAAAUAUUAACUUCAACUCCUGGAACAUCUCAUAUGCUCCAUGACGUUCAAAACGUCGUUGAUGUCCCGAUUCUAAGCCGUAAAGCAUGGCACACUGAACUAUCGAGUAGUCAUCAGCUUUGCUCUGCCGGACGUUCAUAACAUCUGGUGUUGCUCCAGCAGCAGGCCUGGCACCCUGCGGUGCUUCCAGGACGUAAUUCUUCUGUCCAGCAAUGAGGAUAAUCCUCAAGUUACGGACCCAGUCCGUGUAAUUUCUACCAUCAUCUUUCAACUUUGCUUUCUCAAGGAACGCAUUAAAAUUCAACGGAACAACAGCACGGGCCAUCUAUCUACAAUCAAACAUACAUAAGCAAGAUACUAUCAGGUAUUAAGUUCAUGAUAAAUUUAAGUUCAUGGGUGCUUGGUGGGUGGAGAUGGUGGCGGCUAUGGAAAUGAGAUGGGAAAUGGCGGUGGCUAGGGUUAAUUUGAUUAGUCGUUUGUAGUAAUAUCAGAGUGAAUAUCUUGGUUUUUAAGAAAUAUAUCGGUUUAUGCUCAUGUAUCAUGAGUGCAAGAACAACAAUCGUCAACUCCACCGAGCUUAGACUUGAUCAUCCUCGACCAAAGUAGAGGCAAAUCCAAAAUGUAAGGAACUCCGUUGUUUACACCAAAUAAAUGAUUAGGUUUUGCUUCACUUAUGAUCAGCACACCUAGAUAAACCUACACUUCUUGACUUCUAAACUAAGUAUAGGUAUAGCGGUGACAUGGUUAUUAUGCAAAGAUAAUCAACACAAAGCUCUUGCUCAACUGGACAAAAUAAGAAAGUAACACUUGAUUCUCUUUUGCUACUAAACACUUGCUUGCCGGGAAUGCACGAAGGUGAAUGCAUUUCUUGAGCAAUGAAAGCAUGUAUUAGGGAGUGAAAGUUAUGCAAAGACAACAUCAUUCUAGAGUAACUCUAACUCACCCACAAGUGUCUCCUCAUCAAGGCUCUCACGAACUUUAUUUAAAUCAUUGCUUGCUGAAUCUUUUGUUGUCUAGUGAUGGGGCGAUGCCAAAGAACGGAUCAAAAAUAAGGUUUUGUUGUGCUUUAUGUUUGAGUAAUCUGAACUAAUAUGUUGCGACUAUGUACGGUAACAUACUCAUAGCCGAAAUCGGAGUCGAAACUCUAGUGGAUCAUUCAUUCUCCAGUGGAGUUCUCAGCAUUACAUCAAGAAAGGUGACAUUCACAUUCACAUGCCUACACAUGCAUGGAGUAGUAAGACCAUUACACCAGCGUGAAGCUGAAGCUCCAUGUACGAAUAUAGCAAAGGUAUUUGGCAUAAUAUCAUUCACCUUUCAACUAAGUUUCUUUGGAAAAUUUUAUCCACAAGGGCUAUAGAGUCUAUUAAAAUUGACACUAUGGGGUUAGGUAUCUCCAACACAAUCUUCUCCAAAAGUUUUUUCAACACCCAAGCCUUGUGAGACUUUAUGUUGUGCAUGGUUAUUCAUUGUUAACAUAUCACUUUAUUUUAAUAGCCUGAUUUUCAUGGGUUACUUCAGAAAGUUACAAAUACAUAUUUUUUCUCUAAGUUUUGGAAAGUGGUUGCUCCGGUGCCCUGAGCCAUUCAAUGUUCAUAUUAUUAUAUGAAAUUUAAUGUGCAUGGAAACGACCUCUAAAAUUUAACUUUGGCCCAUAAUAUUUUUGUUAUGUAAGGAUACAAGUCAAUAUGGCAAUUAGAUUAUACCAAAACUAGGAAGAAACCACUAAUGCGAAACAUGAUAAAGGGGCAAGAAUCAUUAUGCAUUCGCUCCUCUUUAUAAACACCAGUGCUAGAAAGAUACAUUCAGAGAAGGACAACAUCAAGAGAAAAUAAGUAAUAGUGCAACAUCCCAAAUUUUCAAUUUGGAAUGUUAUACACUAGAUCAUCAUUGCAUAUCAUUUUUUAUUGCAUUUCGGUUGAUCCUAGAAAAUUUACGCAACUCAAGGACCCUCGGAGGGAGUUGGUGAUUUCGUUAUUUUCAUAUUUGAGUUUUCUCAAAUUUUGAAAAUAGGAUCAUUUGAUUUUAUUUAUUUUAUCUUCAAUUAUUUCUGUUACAAAAAUAUGAGAGAGGGAAUAAAAUGACUUUCCCAAAAUAAAUAAAUAUUGAGGAUUUAAUAAAAAAAUCAAUUAAGAUUUUAUUUUGGUUUUAUUUGCUAUUUUAUUUGAAUUUAGGAAAAAUGCGCGUUUUUCAAAAUUGCAUUUAGGCCCAAAUAAAUAUUCAUCCUGUGCGGCUUGAUUUUAGAAGCCAGGGAAAAUUUAUUUCGGGAUUUUUGGAGUCCGUUUAGUAUUCCUUUUGUUUUUUCUGAGCGUAAAUAUUUAAAAAAACGCAACCGACCUAACGGGCCGUGUCUGACCCGGAAACUAGGCCCGUCCGGCUUUAUAAGAUGGGNNNNNNNNNNNNNNNNNNNNNNNNNNNNNNNNNNNNNNNNNNNNNNNNNNNNNNNNNNNNNNNNNNNNNNNNNNNNNNNNNNNNNNNNNNNNNNNNNNNNNNNNNNNNNNNNNNNNNNNNNNNNNNNNNNNNNNNNNNNNNNNNNNNNNNNNNNNNNNNNNNNNNNNNNNNNNNNNNNNNNNNNNNNNNNNNNNNNNNNNNNNNNNNNNNNNNNNNNNNNNNNNNNNNNNNNNNNNNNNNNNNNNNNNNNNNNNNNNNNNNNNNNNNNNNNNNNNNNNNNNNNNNNNNNNNNNNNNNNNNNNNNNNNNNNNNNNNNNNNNNNNNNNNNNNNNNNNNNNNNNNNNNNNNNCGCCGCGCUGCGCCGCCGCCGGAGCACCGCCGCCGCCCACCGGAUCCGUCGCCGGAGGUAGACCUCGCCGCCGCCGGUUUUCCCGACGGUUUUGUUCGUUUUUUUAAUUUCGUUUUUUUUAAAUAGAUCGGUUUUCCUGUUUAUUUAAUUAGCGAGCAUUCGUCCAUUCGUUCGUUUUAACAAACGUACGUCGUUUUUCUUUUUCUCGGAUUAAAUCCGUGGUUUUGCUGAUCGCGAUUUCUGAUCCGAUUUUCGUUUUAGUCUAACUUUUCGCUCGUUUAUCGGAAUCAGGCGAUUCAAGCGCCUGGAGUUUCGUCUCGAAACCCUCUUUCGGUUUAACCAAUUUAAACAAGUUUUUUCCAUUGUAAAAAUUUCCCUAGAUCCAGAAUAGUAAAUGAAGCCUGUUUCUUUUGCCGUUUGUCUUUCGUUGCUUCGUUCGGUUUGAUUCUUUUUGCCUACCGGAGUUCUUAAGUUGAACUUUUUGGUUAGAUCUCUUAUUUGAGUUUUACUUGUGCAUUAUUUGAGUACUUAUUGUAUGCUUGUUUGUUUGCGAUAGAGUACCCGGAGUGCGCCGCGUGCUACUUCGAAUCGCUAGGUUUCCUGGAUCAUCACCAAGGCAAGUAACACUUUGAUCAUGUUUUCCCUCUACCCAGUUUUAUUGCAUUAGAUCAAUCUUCACACAUUGCAUGAUUAGGAUCUAAUUAAAUUUUGGGUUUGGGAAGUACAUGAGGUAGAACCUAUUACCUGUUGUUAUCAAACCCUGGGAGUUAUACUUUUACGUUAUGCUUAUACUGCUAUGCUAUGCUCGUAGACGUGGAUUGGGUUUGAGAGUAUCCAUGACAGAUGUGAGAUGUUAAUUAAUGGUUUACUUAAGGUGGCAACUUAAACACACAUCCGGGUGGAUUGAGGCACCUGGGUAUUCCAGGAUUGCCUGUUUUUUUAUGGACCGCCACCCAGGCUUAAAGCGAUCAUGAGAUUAUUCAUGCUAGAAACUUCCGUGUGCAGCCACAAGCUAUUAUGGGCUCUAGCAUAGUUGACUAAGUUGUGCGAACUCUUAUAGUGGUAGACUAGCAGAUGUAGGGGAAAGUAGGUGUAAUGGUCUACCCGAUCGUAAGGUGCUAGCGCUUCUGAAAGACUAUGUCAUGGUCAUCCGUCUUCUCAAACACCAUGCAGUGCGAGAAACCAAAUGGUGGCGAUCGAGUCUUGUGGGGAAACGUGCGCAAACCUCUGCAGAGUGUAUAAACUAAUCAUGAUUAGCCGUGUCCCCGGUUAUGGACAUCUUGAGUAUGUAGUACCUGGAUUAUCAUGUGAAUCUCAACAUGUUACUCUAAAAAUUAAUUUUGAUGGGUUUUGAUUAAUGAUGUUGCUUAAUUGGGAUUGAGAAUGCUGUCAACCUUUCUCAAUGUUUAACAACUACCAUGAUAGUUAAAUAAAGUUUAUUCCUUUGCAGUAGGGAAAAAUUGGCUUUAUGCAAAACUAUAACCAUAGAGCUUUCCACCAGCCAAAUAUGCAUAUAGAAUAGUCUAUUUCAUUCCAUCACUCUCUAUGUGUUACUUUGCCAGCAUAUUCCAUGUGCUGACCCGUUUCGGGUUGCAACUUUAAUGUUGCAGACUUUUCAGACGACGAUUAAGGAGUUUUUAGGUCGUGGUUCUAUACUCAAUGUUGCCGUUGGAGUUGAUGGAUUCACUUAUCUUCCAAGCCUUCCGUUGUUAUCGUUAUUAGAUGGCCUUAAGCCAUAUUUAUUGUACUAAGUUCUCUUUUGAGACAUUCGAUGUAAUAAGUGUGUGAUUGCUACUCUGUUAUAAAUCCUUCAAGUACUGUGUGGUGUCAGCAUUACUGAUCUAGGGAUGACACCUGAGCAUAGAGAUUGGACCGUUUGAGGUCUGGUCGCUACAAGAUGGUAUCAGAGCACACACUGACUGUAGGACACGACCACUAAGCUAAAGACCUAGAUUACUACUCACUCUCUCUUCUCUUUCUGACUUCUCAUGUUUACUACUCUUUUAGGAUGGCGGAUGCAAGGAACAGGUUCACGCAACCGGAUGAAGAUACACCCUUUGGGCGUCACUUGAGGGAAGUCACUAGAUACCUAAACAUAGGAGUACCAAGCUUCACCGGAACCUACAACGCCACUUUACCUGAAGAGGAGCGCUGGAUGAUUCAAGUUCAAGUUCCAGGAAGGACGUUCAUGCCAGUCACUGAGCCCAUAGAGUUUUCUUUUGAUGCACCAACUUGGAGUCUAGGAAAGAGCAUGGCAGCUCACAUCAUCAUGGGGCAUAUUGGAGAAGUCUACCGCAAUGAUCUUAAGGAUACUAUCUACCAGAUUUGUGGGCGCCGAAAUGAGCACUGGGAGAUGAUCAGCACCAUGAAGGAUAGAUCAGUCGCAGCUUUUAUCCAAGAGUUAAACCAGCACAUUCGACGUCAGGAGAACCAGAUGUGCGCCGACAUGAUAGAUCUGAAGAAGGCAAAGACAAGAAUCAAGGAACUGGAGGAAGAACUCAAGGCUACACGUGAAGAUUUCGAAGAGGAAAAUGAAGUAUUAGUGGAGAAGAAUGAUGAUCUGAUCAAGAAGAUCAGAAUAUUUAUGGGAGGCCCUACUCCAGUAGAAGAAGACGAAGAACCCAAGGAGAUUCGCCCGGAAGACUACAUCAUCAACGACAACACCCACUCGGAUCCAGAUGAUAGCGAUGAUGACUAUGUUGAUGAAGCUGGAGCAGAUAUCAUGGAGUCUGCAACCGAAGAAUAUUUCCGGUAGACCACCUCAUCAGUAGUAGUAGUCCACCAUGUAUAUAUAGUAGUCUGAGCACUUUUGCGAUAGUUAGAUCGAUUGUAUGCCCUUGUUUGAUUGAUUGAAUGAAGUGAAUUGUUUGCUUUUGCCUCAUGUGCAUAUGGGUUGUGUUUUCUCUUUAGACCCCCUCUAUUAUUAAAUCUCAUAUUUUCUAAACCCUCAGAUGCCUCCGAGACGUGACCCUGGAUUUACCUUUCCACCAGAGCUCACCCAGUUGAUCCAGCAGCAGAACACAUUGAUGUAGUUGCUAGUCAAGAAUCAGAAUCAGAGGAACAACAACAACAACCCACCACCACCACCCACAUGUUAAUCACUUAGUCCGUUUUCUUAGGCUGAAUCCGCUGGUGUUUUCCAGUAGCACUGAGCCGAUAGUGGCAGAUGAUUGGCUCCGCAAGACAGCUAGGGAGUUGACCACAGCAGGAUGCACGGAUGCGGAAAAGGUGAAGUUUGCCGCACAUCAGCUUGAAGGACCCGCAACAUCAUGGUGGAAGAAUUUCACAACCACUUUUCCUGUCGACAUUGUUACGUGGGACCACUUUCAGUAGGCUUUUCGAACUGCCCAUGUUUCAGCAGGAGCUAUGGUCAUGAAGAAGCGAGAGUUUCUCAAUUUGCGCCAAGGGGGACGGGCAGUUGGCUAGUAUGUGGAGGACUUUAGUAAACUAGCACGUUACGCCCCAAAUGACGUUGCUACGGAUGCAGCUAAGCAGGAGAAGUUUCUGGAAGGACUGAAUGAUGAGUUGAGCAUGCAGUUGAUGGUAGCCACCUUCAACAGCUACUAGGAGUUGGUAGAUCGUGCUCUCAUGAUUGAAGGGAAGUAGCAGCAGAUUGAGAAUCGCAAAAGGAAGUAUGGACAAGGGAAGCACACUUCAGGAGCUCAGAAGAAGCCACGUUUUACCCUUAGACCGGGAGGACAUUUUCAGUAUGCCCAUGGAGGAGGUAGCUCGCAUAAUCACAAUGGCACCAAGAAUGGUAAUGGGAAUGGAGGAAGCAACGGCCAGAACCGCACCAACCCAUCGACCCCAGCCAAGAGACACCUGAGCCAAGUCACUUGCUUUAAGUGCCAGAAGACUGGACAUUAUGCCAAUGAAUGUCCUGAAUCCCUGAAUGGAAAUGGAAAUGGAAGCUCUGGGAAGAAGCCGAACCCUUUCAACAGGGGACAGGUGAUCCACGUUAACGUGGAGGAGGUUGAAGAGCAGCCGGAUGCAGUAAUCGGUAAGUUUUUGGUUAAGUCAUUUACUGCACUUGUUCUUUUUGAUACUGGUGCAUCGCAUUCAUACAUAUCAAGGGGAUUUGUGGAUAAGUAUAACCUUCCCACCAAAGUUCUUAGAACACCUAUGUUAGUAAGCUCACCAGGAGCGGAGUAUAUGGCUAGCCAAGGAUGUUUUCAAGUGUCAUUAAGUAUAGGUGGGCAUGUGUUCCCCUCAGAUUUGAUAAUAUUGGAAUCACAAGGUUUGGAUGUAAUUCUGGGUAUGGAUUGGUUGUCGAUGUAUGGAGGAAACAUCGAUUGCGCCAGUAAGUCGAUCUUGCUUACCACCCCGGAAGGAAGAAGGAUCAAGUAUGUAUCCUGGCAUGUGCCGAAGAGCACUCAAGUAAAUUAUUUAACAUGAGUUGUGCAGGAGGAUGUACCAGUAGUAAAUGAUUUCCCUGAUGUAUUUCCAGAAGAGUUGCCAGGCAUGCCACCGGAUAGAGAUAUUGAGUUUUUGAUUGAGCUUUUGCCAGACACAGGGCCAAUAUCAAAGAGACAAUAUAGGAUGCCUGCAAAGGAUUUGGUGGAGAUUAAGAAGCAAGUUAAGGAGUUACUGGAUAAAGGAUAUAUUCGCCCAAGUUCAUCGCCUUGGGGAUCACCAGUACUUCUAGUGGAGAAGAAGGAUGGAUCGUUAAGGAUGGUUGUUGAUUAUCGAGGUUUGAACGAAGUAACCAUCAAGAACAAGUACCCACUACCGAUGAUCAAUGACCUGUUUGAUCGAUUGCAAGGAGCUAAGGUAUUUUCCAAGAUUGAUCUGCGAUCAGGAUACCACCAGUUGAAGAUUCGAGAAUAGGAUAUACCUAAGACAGCUUUUACCACCAGGUAUGGGCUAUAUGAGUAUACUGUUAUGUCAAUCGGUCUGACUAACGCACCUGCAUAUUUUAUGAACAUGAUGAACAAAGUGUUUAUGGAGUUCCUGGAUAAGUUCGUCGUAGUGUUCAUUGAUGAUAUCCUGGUUUACUCGAAGAAUGAAGAGGAGCAUAAGGAGCAUUUGCAUUUGGUUCUUGGAAAGCUCAGAGAACAUCAACUAUAUGCCAAGUUCAGCAAAUGUGAGUUUUGGUUGAAGGAAGUUGGAUUUCUCAGACACGUUAUAUCCGGAGAAGGUAUAGCAGUAGAUCCCACUAAAGUUGAUACUGUGACCAAGUGGGAAGCGCCAACAACAGUUGGAGAGAUCCGGAGUUUUCUUGGACUCGCAGGAUACUACCGAAGGUUUAUUGAGAAUAUCUCAAAAAUUGCGAAGCCUGUGAAGGAGUUGUUGAAGAAGGAUACCAAGUUCAUAUGGACUGAGGAAUGUGAGGCUAGUUUCCAGGAGUUGAAGAAACAUUUGGUUACAUCACCAGUGUUGAUUUUGCCAGACCAGACCAAGGAUUAUGAGGUGUAUUGCGAUGCUUCACAUCAAGGACUUGGAUAAGUGCUUAUGCAGGAAGGAAGAGUUGUUUCAUAUGCCUCACGACAGCUUAAGCCUCAUGAGUUGAAUUAUGCUACGCAUGAUUUGGAGUUAGCAGCUGUAGUGCAUGCGUUGAAGACUUGGAGACAUUUUCUGAUUGGAAACCAUUGCGAGGUGUACACGGAUCACAAGAGUUUGAAGUAUAUUUUCACACAGAAGGAGUUGAACCUCAGACAAAGGAGAUGGUUGGAGCUAAUCAAGGAUUAUGAUAUGAAAUUGCAUUAUCACCCGGAAAGGCUAACGUAGUAGCUGACGCGUUGAGCCGUAAAAGCCAUGUCAACACCCUAAUGAUGGGAGAUUUACCAAGGGAGUUAGCUGAAAAUCUUCGAGAGCUAUGUUUGGAAAUAGUUCCAAGAGGCUAUGUAGAAGCAUUGGAGAUUCAGUCUACUUUGAUGGAUUUCAUGAGGAUGAGCACGAUACCAUAUGGUUUGAAGACCGUGUUUAUGUGCCUAAUGAUUCGGAGAUCAGGAAGUUAAUUUUACAAGAGGCCCAUGAUUCACCGUAUUCGAUUCACCCAGGAAAUACCAAGAUGUAUUUGGAUUUGAAGGAUAUUUUCUGGUGGACCGGAAGAGGAAGGAUAUUGCGAAGUAUGUAGCAGUUUGUGAUGUAUGUCAGAGCGUAAAGGCAGAGCAUCAGAAGCCAGCCGGAUUGCUACAACCAUUGCCGAUACCCGAAUGGAAGUGGGAUAAGUUAGGCAUGGAUUUUAUUACAGGAUUGCCUAGAACACGUUCAGGCUAUGACUCGAUAUGGGUUGUAGUCGAUCGUUUGACAAAGGUAGCUCAUUUCAUUCUCGUGAAGACUACCUAUACGAGUGCAAUGUUGGCAAAGAUAUACAUGACUAGAAUCGUUUGUCUGCAUGGAGUUCCAAGGAGUAUAGUAUCAGGCAGAGGAACCCAAUUUACCUCAAAGUUCUGGAAUCAGUUGCAUGAGACUUUGGGUAACAGACUGGAGUUUAGCACAGCUUUCCACCCGCAGACAGAUGGAUAGACUGAGAGAGUCAAUCAGAUUUUGGAGGAUUUGCUAAGAGCUUGUGUGCUAGAUUACGGAUCUAGCUGGGACGAGAAUUUUCCAUAUGCAGUUUUCUCUUACAACAACAGCUAUCAAUCCAGUUUGAAGAUGGCACCUUUCGAAGCCUUGUACGGAAGGAGGUGCAGGACCCCAUUGUCUUGGGAUGAAGUUGGAGACCGCCAGUUGUUAAGACUAGAUCUGAUAAAGGAGUCUGAACAGAAAGUGAAAUUGAUUCACGAUAGGCUCAAGGUAGCUCAAUCCAGGCAGAAGAGUUAUGCAGAUUCUAAAUGCAAGGAGACAAUUUACAAAGUUGGAGACCGAGUUUAUCUUCGAGUAUCACCACUUCGAGGAGUUAAGCACUUUGGAGUUAAGGGAAAGUUAGUGCCACGUUUUGCAGGCCCAUACAAGGUUUUGGAGCGUAUGGGAGAAGUUGCCUAUAAGUUGGAAUUGCCCGAAGGAUUGUCAGGAGUUCACAACGUGUUCCAUGUAUCCUAGUUGAAGAAGUGCCACGCAGAGAUGGCUGAUAUACUGCUGAGAGAUAUGGUACCGCUGGAAGCUAUUCAGUUGGACAGUGAUUUGACCUAUGAGGAGAAACCAGUUAAGAUUUUAGAAUAUGCCAGUCGAGUCACCUGCAGCAAGGUUAUCAAGUUUUGCAAGGUUCAGUGGAGCCACCACACAGAGGAUGAAGCCACCUGGGAACGAGAGGAAGAUUUGCUGAAGGACUACCCUCACCUAUUUUCUAUCCAACCUGAAUCUCGAGGGCGAGAUUCAUCUUAAGGGGGGUAGGUUUGUAACAUCCCAAAUUUUCAAUUUGGAAUGUUAUACACUAGAUCAUCAUUGCAUAUCAUUUUUUAUUGCAUUUUGGUUGAUCCUAGAAAUUUUACGCAACUCAAGGACCCUCGGAGAGAGUUGGUGAUUUCGUUAUUUUCAUAUUUGAGUUUUCUCAAAUUUUGAAAAUAGGAUCAUUUGAUUUUAUUUAUUUUAUCUUCAAUUAUUUCUAUUACAAAAAUAUGAGAGAGGGAAUAAAAUGACUUUCCCAAAAUAAAGAAAUAUUGAGGAUUUAAAAAAAUCAAUUAAGAUUUUAUUUUGGUUUUAUUUGCUAUUUUAUUUGAAUUUAGGAAAAAUGCAUGUUUUUCAAAAUUGCAUUUAGGCCCCAAGUAAAUGUUCAUCCUGUGCGGCUUGAUUUUAGAAGCCGGGGAAAAUUUAUUUCGGGAUUUUUGGAGUCCUUUUAGUAUUCUUUUUAUUUUUUUCUGAGCGUAACUAUUUAAAAAAACGCAACCGACCUAACGGGCCGUGUCCGACCCGGACACUAGGCCCGUCCGACUUUAUAUGCCGGGGAGGCCCAGCCGGACCCUCCGUCAAACCCUAGCCGCCUAGCCCGCCGCCGCCACCUUCGCCGCCGCCACCGCCACCUNNNNNNNNNNNNNNNNNNNNNNNNNNNNNNNNNNNNNNNNNNNNNNNNNNNNNNNNNNNNNNNNNNNNNNNNNNNNNNNNNNNNNNNNNNNNNNNNNNNNNNNNNNNNNNNNNNNNNNNNNNNNNNNNNNNNNNNNNNNNNNNNNNNNNNNNNNNNNNNNNNNNNNNNNNNNNNNNNNNNNNNNNNNNNNNNNNNNNNNNNNNNNNNNNNNNNNNNNNNNNNNNNNNNNNNNNNNNNNNNNNNNNNNNNNNNNNNNNNNNNNNNNNNNNNNNNNNNNNNNNNNNNNNNNNNNNNNNNNNNNNNNNNNNNNNNNNNNNNNNNNNNNNNNNNNNNNNNNNNNNNNNNNNNNNNNNNNNNNNNNNNNNNNNNNNNNNNNNNNNNNNNNNNNNNNNNNNNNNNNNNNNNNNNNNNNNNNNNNNNNNNNNNNNNNNNNNNNNNNNNNNNNNNNNNNNNNNNCCCACGCCGCCCGCACCGCUGACCGCCGCCGCCGCCGAAGCACCACCGCCGCCCGCCGGAUCCGUCACUGGAGGUAGACCUCGCCGCCGCCAGUUUUUCCCAAAAAACCGUUCGGUUUUUCCGAUGGUUUUGUUUUUUCUAGUUUUGGUUUUUUUAAAUAGAUCGGUUUUCCAGUUUAUUUAAUUAGCGAGCGUUCGUCUCUUCGUUUGUUUUAACGAACGUAUGUCGUUUUUCUUUUUCUUCGAUUAAAUCCGCGGUUUUUAUGAUCGUGAUUUCGGAUCCGAUGUUCGUUUUAGUCUAACUUUUCGCUUGUUUCGGAAUCAGGCGAUUCAAGCGCCUGGUUUUCGUCUCAAAACCCUCUUUCUGUUUAACCAAUUUAAACAGUUUUUGCCACUGUAAAAAUUGCUCUAGAUCCAGAAUAGUAAACGAAGCCUGUUUCUUUUGCCGUUUGUCUUUCGUUGCUUCGUUCGGUUUGAUUCUUUUUGCCAACCGAAGUUCUUAAGUUGAACUUUCUGGUUAGAUCUCUUAUUGAAGUUUUACAUGUGCAUUACUUGAGUACUUAUUGUAUGCUUGUUUGUUUGCAAUAGAGUACCCUGAGUGCGCCGCGUGCUACUAUGAAUCGCUAGGUUUACCGGAUCAUCUCAAGGAAAGUAACACUUUGAUCAUGUUUUCCCUCUACCCAGUUUUAUUGCAUUAGAUCAAUCCUCACACAUUGCAUGAUUAGGAUCUAAUUAAAUUGUGGGUUUGGGAAGUGAUGAGGUAGAACCUAUUACCUGUUGUUAUCAAACCCUGGGAGUUACUUUUACGUUAUGCUUAUACUGCUAUGCUAUGCUCGUAGACGUGGAUUGGGUUUGAGAGUAUCCAUGACAGAUGUGAGAUGUUAAUUAAUGGUUUACUUAAGUUGGCAAAUUAAACACACAUCUGGGUGGAUUGAGGCACCUGGGUCGUAACGUCCUCGAUGCGGCUAUAGCUCCCACGUGUCGAGGCACGACUUAGAGACAUAACCGCAUUGAAAGCAAUGUCGCAAGUUAGGCAAUCAUCACAACAUCCCAUGUAAUAUAUAAUAAAAGGGGAAGAUACAUAGUUGGCUUACACUCGCCACGUCACAUCAAAGUACAUAAAUAACAUCCAUCAUUCAGACACUCAUGGCCCGACUACGGCGCCAAAAUAGAAAAGAACCCAGGAUGCGACAAAGCCCUGAAUCGAACCCCAACUAGGCACCACUACUGAUCAUCAGGAAAAGACAUGUAGUAACACUGAGAGUCCUCGUCGAACUCCCACUUGAGUUCGUACGUCACCUGGAGCGGAAACACCUGGACCUGCAUCUGGAGUUAUAGUAUCUGUGAGCCACAGGGACUCAACAAUCUCGCACCCUUGCGAUCAAAACUAUUUAAGCUUAUAGGAAGGGUUAGGCAAGUAUAUGUGGAGCUGCAGCAAGCGACUAGCAUGUAUGGUGGCUAACUUAUACGCAAAAGAGAGCGAGAAGAGGAGGCAAAGCGCGAGCGAGAAUCUAGAGGAACAACCUGCGCAAGCAUAACUCCAACACCGUGUCCACUUCCCGGAUUCCGCCGAGAAGGGGCCAUCACGGUAACACACACGGUUGAUUCAUUUUUAAUUAAGUUUAUGUUUAAGUUAUCUACAAUCGGACAUUAACAAAUUCCCAUCUGCCCAUAACCGUGGGCACGGCUUUCGAAAGUUCAAUCCCUGCAGGGGAGUCCCAACUUAGCCCAUGACAAGCUCUCACAGUCAACGAAGGAAUAGACCUCCACCCGAGACAUUCCAAUCAGACUCGGUAUCCUGGUACAACAAGACAUUUCGACAUGUUAAAACUAGACAAGCAACACCGCCCGAAUGUGCCGACAAAUCCCGAUAGGAGCUGCACAUAUCUCGUUCUCAGGGCACACUCAGAUGAGCAAUCCGUACAACUAAAACCAAACCUCGAGUUUCCCCGAGGGGGCGCUGCAUAGGGCUCUAGUUCGGACCAACACUCAGAGGAGCACUGGCCCGUGGGGGGCUAAAAUAAAGAUGACCCUCGGGCUCCGGAAACCCAAGGGAAAAGAGGCUAGGUGGCAAAUGGUAAAACCAAUGUUGGGCAUUGCUGGCAAAGAUUUAAUCAAGGCGAACUAUCAAGGGGUUCCCAUCAUAGCCCGACCGUGUAAGGAACGCAAAAAUCCGGGAACAUAACACCGAUAUGACGGAAACUAGGGUGGCAAGAGUGGAACAAAACACUAGGCGAGAGGCCGAGCCUUCCACCCUUUACCAAGUAUAUAUAUGCAUUAAGAUAACAUGGCAAUAUAAUGAUAUCCCAACAAGUAAGUAAAUGGUUCCAACAAGGAACGCUCCAAUCUUCACCUGCAACUAGCAACGCUAUAAGAGGGGCUGAGCAAAGCGGUAACAUAGCCAAUCAACGGUUUGCUAGGACAUGGUGGGUUAGAGGUUCAACAUGGAAAUUGGGAGGCUGACAAGCAAAAGGUAGGCAUCGUAGCAUUGGCAUAGCAAAGAGCGAGCAAACUAGCAUAGCAAAGAUAGUAGUGAUUUCGAGGGUAUGAUCAUCUUGCCUGCAAAGUUGUCAGAGUUGACUGGAUCCUCAAAAGCAAACUCAACGGGCUUCUCAUUAGCAAACUCGUCUCCCGGCUCUACCCAAACAACACAAACAAGCAACUAGGAUACAAUCAACCACGUGCAAACUCAAACAAUAAGAUGCAAUGAUGGUAUGCUAUGCGGGAUGCGAUGCGGGAUGCAUAUGCAAGAUAUGGCAGGAAAUGCAUGAACCUGGCCUCAACUUGGAAAACCAAGUGUGCCACUGGAAAGAUGGGAUGAAAUCGCUUGAAAACGAUAUAAAGAUCAUUGGAAUCUGAGUUACGGUUUGGAAAUGGCAAGCGUUUUAAGAUGACACCGGUCUGCGAUUUACAGCAAGUAGGCAUCUAAAUGCAAUGAAAUGAACAUGCUACAGCCACCAAACAUGACAACAAAAUACUUGGCAGGGAUGCACACAAGAUGCUUAAUAAAAGACUAGCACUGAGCCACAGCCAAUUCAUCCAUUAUGAGGUUCAAACAAGCAUGGCAAAAACGCAAAUGCAAAACAGAUUUCAGACUUAGUGAAAUUAACUUGUCUGAAAUUUCAGAUCAUGAAGCCCUCUUCGGAGCAGCAAAACAACAUGAUACAUGACCUGAUUAUGACAAGUAAGAACAUGGCAUGGAGCUACUCAACAAGCUUAACAAAAUACCCAAAGUGACCUCGGGCCAAAAGGGUUCGCAAAAUAUACUAACAAGCCCACGAACAUAGCUAAAACACAAUCAGUUUUCAGACUUAGUGAAAACUGAGGCAUGCUGAAAUAUAACUCACGAAGGCAUGUAAACAAGCUCGAUGCACUCACUACGGUGCAAGUCAUGGCAAGGCAAGCAUACAUACAUUAAGAAGGCACAAAAUGCUAACUAGACAUGGCAAGAACAAUGGCAUAGCAUGCACGGAUCAACUACAAUAGCAUCGGCAAAAUCGCAAAUGAGUUGACGAUCUGCCCAGAUUCACAACGAAGCAAAAGUAGAGCUCGAUUGACUCAAGCUAGGUUGAUCCAAAUAUGCCAACAAAGGCAUGGAUGGAUAGAUCAUAACAAGAUUAACAAAACUCCUUUACUGACCAUCCUCAAACGAGGCACGGAUCACUAGAAAAUAGCAAGAACAUAUGGCUUCAUGAACGAAAUAAUCCCAGACUUCGUGAAAACUAAUAAGUCCCUGAAAACAGAUUUACCGGGUGACUCACUUUGCAAGCUUGCACCAGUCACCACAGACAUCCUAAAAAUGCAUGGGUUGCACCUCUGGAUAGAUAACCAAAUGCUUAACAAAACAUUUGAAGGACUCACAGGCAUAUCCUGCACACAAUAAUCAUGGCAAAAAUGACAAAAGUCUAAGAUGAACUAGCAGAUCUGACAAUUAACUCAUGAAGCCUCCUUCUAACAGCAUUCCGGGCAUCAAGAUGAACUCAAAUGAAAAUGAUGCAAUGGAAUGAAAUGAUGUACUCGUCGAGACGAAUAUUUUGAUAUACUAUAUGUCCAAAUCGGAGCUAUGGAUGCGGAGAUAUGGCAGGUCAAAGUUUGCUCGAAAAUUAGGGUUUGGAGGAGAAAAAGUCAAUCGAGGAGUAGAUCUCAGAUCCAGAUCCGGGGUACUGUUCACGCACGCCUCCCGAGGUCGCCGGAGUUGUUCGCCGGAGUCGAGGGAGGAGGCCGGAGCAGCGGGGAGAGGUCGGGGCCGGAUCCGGUGGUGGCCGAGGCGGCGAGCUCCAGCUCGGGCGGCGACGUGGCCCAUGGUGGCGGCGUGGUGGGGCAGCGCCGGAGCCGAAGAGGCGGCCCGCGGUGGCUCCGGUCGCCGGAGGUGCAGCUUCGGGCGGCGGCGGUUGGAGAGGAAGGCGUGGGGGCGCGCGGCGGCUACGGGCUCGCGGGGGCCNNNNNNNNNNNNNNNNNNNNNNNNNNNNNNNNNNNNNNNNNNNNNNNNNNNNNNNNNNNNNNNNNNNNNNNNNNNNNNNNNNNNNNNNNNNNNNNNNNNNNNNNNNNNNNNNNNNNNNNNNNNNNNNNNNNNNNNNNNNNNNNNNNNNNNNNNNNNNNNNNNNNNNNNNNNNNNNNNNNNNNNNNNNNNNNNNNNNNNNNNNNNNNNNNNNNNNNNNNNNNNNNNNNNNNNNNNNNNNNNNNNNNNNNNNNNNNNNNNNNNNNNNNNNNNNNNNNNNNNNNNNNNNNNNNNNNNNNNNNNNNNNNNNNNNNNNNNNNNNNNNNNNNNNNNNNNNNNNNNNNNNNNNNNNNNNNNNNNNNNNNNNNNNNNNNNNNNNNNNNNNNNNNNNNNNNNNNNNNNNNNNNNNNNNNNNNNNNNNNNNNNNNNNNNNNNNNNNNNNNNNNNNNNNNNNNNNNNNNNNNNNNNNNNNNNNNNNNNNNNNNNNNNNCUCGCGGGGGCCCGGCUUGGGCCUCCCGGGCCUCGGCGGCGGCUGGCGGCGGGAGCGCCACGUGGUGGCGUGUGGUUGGCUGGGCGCGGCGGCGGACGUGUCCGGCCGACACGGACGUGUCCGGUGCGGCGUGGGGGCGAUUUUAGGGUUAGGGGAGGAAGAGGACAAUGAGAACUUCGGAGGGGGGCUAUUUAUAGGCAUAAGUGGAGCUAGGAGAGUCCAAAUGAGGUGCGGUUUUCGGCCACGCGAUCGGGAUCGAACGCUCUAGAUGAUGGGGCAUAGUUUGAUGGGUUUUGGGCCAAAAUGGAGGGGUGUUGGGCUGCAACACACACGAGGCCUUUUUGGUCCCUCGGUUAACCAUCGGAGUAUCAAACGAAGUCCAAAUGGUAAGAAACUUGACAGGCGGUCUACCGGUAGUAAACCAAGGCCGCAUGACAAGUCUCGGUCCAAUCCGGAAAUGUUUAAACCCCACACACGAAAGAAAGGUAGAAUUGACCACCGGAGGAGAACGAAGCACCGGAAUGCAAAACGGACAACGGGGAAAAUGCUCGAAUGCAUGAGAUGAACACGUAUGCAAAUGCAAUGCACAUGAUGACAUGAUAUAAGAUGCAUGAAAACGAAAACAACACACGGAGAUCAAGACCCGAACCCGAGAAAUGAAUAUAACUUAACGCCGGAAAUGGCAAGAGUUGGACUACAAAUUGGGAAAGUUAUAUCUAGGGCGUUACAUGGGUAUUCUAGGAUUGCCUGUUUUUUUAUGGACCGCCACCCAGGCUCAAAGGGAUCAUGAGAUUAUUCAUGCUAUAAACUUCCGUGUGCAGCCACAAGCUAUUAUGGGCUCUAGCAUAGUUGGCUAAGUUGUGCAAACUCUUACAGUGGUAUACUAGCAGAUGUAGGGGAAAGUAGGUGUAACGGUCUACCCGAUCGUAAGGUGCUAACGCUUCUGAAAGACUAUGUCCCGGACAUCCGUCUUCUCAAACACCAUGCAAUGUGAGAAACCAAACGGAGGCGAUCGAGUCUUGUGGGGAAAAGUGCGCAAACCUCUACAGAGUGUAUAAACUAAUCAUGAUUAGUCGUGUCCCCGGUUAUGGACAUCUUGAGUAUCUAGUACCUGGAUUAUCAUGUGAAUCUCAACCUGUUACUCUAAAAAUUAAUUUUGAUGGGUUUUGAGUAAUGAUGUUGCUUAAUUGGGAUUGAGAAUGCUGUCAACCUUUCUCAAUGUUUAACAACUACUAUGAUAGUUAAAUAAAAUUUAUUCCUUUGCAGUAGGGAAAAGUUUGCUUUACGCAAAACUGUAACCAUAGAGCUUUCCACCAGCCAAAUAUGCAUAUAGAAUAGCCUAUUUCAUUCCAUUACUCUCUAUGUGUUACUUUCCCAGCAUAUUCCAUGUGCUGACCCGUUUCGGGCUGCAACGUUAAUGUUGCAGACUUUUCAGACAACGAUUAAGGAGUUUUUUGGUCGUGGUUCUAUACUCAGUGAUGUCGUUGGAGUUGAUGGACUCACUUAUCUUCCAAGCCUUCCGCUGUUAUCGUUAUUAGAUGGCCUUAAGCCAUAUUUAAUUUACUAAGUUCUCUUUUGAGACAUUCGAUGUAAUAAGUGUGUGAUUGCUACUCUAUUAUAAAACCUUCAAGUACUGUGUGGUGUCAGCAUUACUGAUCCAGGGAUGACACCUGAGCACAGAGAUUGGACCGUUUGAGGUCUGGUCGCUACAAAUAGCAAGGUAGUCUUGAUGAUUGCACUUAUCAAGAACAAGACACGCAUUCUCUUUUGUGUUGUUCUUUUGUUGACAUGAACCACUUUUCUGUGUGGCCUAGCGGCAGCGGGGAGGUACAUAGGUAAUUUCCAAAUUAGUUUCCUAGAUGAGUUUCUUGAUAUAAACAGACCCAAAUUAUUAUGUAUCAUUCUUUCCAUACAUAUUAAUUUGUAUGUUGUGGUGCUUCCUUCAUUGUGUUUAGGUACCAAGGCUCCAUUUGGAAUCCAAUGUUUUACUUACUCAGUGUGCAUGGACUCAUAUCAGUAUGCCGUUGAUUACUGCAACAAGGAGUGCAAAAUACUUGGUUAUGACGGCCAGAAAGGCUACUGCAGGAAGGAAAAUUGUGGUGUGUGUUGUUGUGCCUAAAGUUAAAGACUUGUUAUAUUGUCAUUUUGUAGAAAAUCAUUGCAUGUAUUUGCUUGUCAGAAUACUAAUUUAUAUGGAUUAUACGAUAAUUUCAAUAACAUAUACUGGUAGUUGCUUUCGAAGACCAACUUGACUAGCCGAUCAACUCUUCAGGUCAUAUGAAUCAACAAUGAGCCAGCGAAAAACUGGAAGUACUGAUAACUUAAAAAAUUAAGUUUGGGAGUGAAUUAAUGGAAAUAUAUGAGAAAUAUAUUGGGUAUAUGAAAUUUUCUCAUUCAACGAUGCUAGUUAAUACCAACUGAUGGAUGUACAACUCAAAGAAAGUCCAUAUUUGAACCCUGGACUAUCACAAAUGUCUAAGAACCAACCCCAAACUCUGAAACAAUCUAUCUUGCAAUUCUGAAUUGUCAAAGUCGAUCAACUUUCAACUUUUCCUCUCCUCAAACUGGUAUUUGGUGCGUCGAAGUGGUUUGGAACAAUUGAUCGCCUAGUCGGCUGCCAUGUCACUUAAUAUUUUUCCUGAAUAUGUAUUUUAUUGCAUGUUAUAAUCUGUUUGGCGGGAUCGGCCCUAUAGUUGAGAAAUAAUCAGAUAAUAGCAAUGGGCAUUUAAUGGCUACAACUCUUAUAUCCCUAAGAUAUAGGAUCCGGGCUACUGUACUAAACUUUUCUAUCACUAGUGUUCAGAAUAGCACUUCUUGGUCUACCCGCUGUUAGCCUCUCUCUGACUCACUCUCUGUGAUCCUAGGUACCUGCAAGGACGAAGAAUGUUGAUGAGACAAGAGACAUCCAUGAAGCAAUUUUAUGUUACACAUACGGGACAAAUUCAAAGUACUUCCAUAAAUCCCUCCAAUAAAUACAUAGGGUUGUAGGACUAUGCCUCAACCCAUGACGAUACCUUUGAUAUGGAGAACAAAUCACAAGUACAAUCCAUCAAACAACACAUCAUGAAUAUUGAUUGAUAAUAUGUCUUACAAUAAUUGCCGGAUGUGAUAGACGAUUACAAAGUAUGGCUAGUUGGAUGAGUGCUUGGUGGGUGGAGAUGGUGGCGGCUAUGGAAAUGAGAUGGGAAAUGGUGGUGGCUAGGGUUAAUUUGGACGAUGAAGAUUGAGGUUUGGGCGAUGCUCUGUUGCUAUUAUGGGAUUGAGCCCUUCAUGGUAUAUAUUUGUAGGGUUGGCCUAGGAGACCUUGAGCGUGUGCGAUCAUAUGGAACAUCGUCUUGCUUUGUUCUUCUUGGAGUGUCUCCCACUUGAUCUCCUCUAUAUCCUUGACGGUGUCAAAACCGGCGUAUCUCGGGUAGGGGGUCCCGGACUGUGCGUCUAGGCGGAUGGUAACAGGAGACGAGGGACACGAUGUUUUUACCCAGGUUCGGGCCCUCUCGAUGGAGGUAAAACCCUACGUCCUGCUUGAUUAAUAUUGAUGAUAUGGGUAGUACAAGAGUAGAUCUACCACGAGAUCAAGGAGGCUAAACCCUAGAAGCUAGCCUAUGGUAUGAUUGUUGUAAUGUAUGUUGUCCUACGGACUAAAGCCCUCCGGUUUAUAUAGACACCGGAGAGGGCUUGGGUUACACAGAGUCGGUUACAAUGGUAGGAGAUCUACAUAUCCGUAUUGCCAAGCUUGCCUUCCACGCCAAGGAAAGUACCUUCCGGACACGAGCCGGAGUCUUCAAUCUUGUAUAUUCGUAGUCUUGGAGUCCGGCGGAUAAUGAUAGUCCAACUAUCUGGACACCCCCUAGUCCAGGACUCCCUCAGUAGCCCCUGAACCAGUCUUCAAUGACGAUAAGUCCGGCGUGCAUAAUGUUCGGCAUUGCAAGGCGGGUUCCUCCCUUGAAUAAUCCAGAGAAGAUCAUGAACACCAGGAUAGUGUCCGGCUUUGCAAAAUAAAUUCCACAUUCCACCAUAGAGAGAAUAAAAUGUACACUUAGUUCGAUCUGCUGACGUAUUAUGCGGCGUGACAUCACACCGCCACCAGGCCUUUGUUUGAAUUACUAUACCACCUCAGCAUGUUUAGCGAAGCGGUUUCCUUGGCACGUUUUGUCGAAGCAGAGAUCGUGUUCCCCUUAUUCCGGGAUUCUCAUCAAUACGUGCGUGGGUAACCCAACCGCGCCAUCGAUGGUGGCGCUUGUGAGAUAAGCGAAUUUUACCAGGCUGGUGGGGGACGCAUAGUUUUGUCCGCCUAUAUAUAAGGGAUAAGAAUUCACCUUCUCACCUACGCCUUCUUCCUCCUUUGCUUAUCCAUCCCCGCGAACUCAAGCUCCAAUGCCCGAGCUCGCGCAUCUCACCUCAACCUUCCCCGAAUAUGUCCGGAGCGGGAGGUAAAUGGUUAGCCUCCACCGUCAAGGAGGAGGACAUCACCAAGCUGCGCAGCGCCGGAUACCUUUCCGGCGAUAUCGCGCAUCGGCUGCCCGACGAGGGGCGGCUCAUCCCUACCCCCAGGCCUCAUGAGAGGGUCGUCUUCCUCCCCCACUUCCUCCGCGGACUGGGCUUUCCGCUCCAUUCAUUUGUUCGGGGGCUCAUGUUUUAGUACGGCCUGGAUUUCCACGAUCUGGCGCUGAACUUUAUCCUCAACAUCUCGGCGUUUAUCGUCGUGUGCGAGGCCUUCCUCUGCAUCCGGCCCCACUUCGGCCUGUGGCUCAAGACCUUCAACGUCAAGCCGAAGGUUGUGAAGGGUACGCAAGUGGAAUGUGGAGGCGCCAUGUUGGGCAAAUUGCCCAACGUCCCUUGGCUAGAAGGGACCUUCGUGGACUCCGUCAAGGGGUGGCAAUCGGGGUGGUUCUAUAUCAUCGAGCCGCGCAAAUCCACAUGGGCGGCGGCCCCCGAGUUUAGAUCUGGCAUCCCCACGCAGCUCACCUCCUGGAAAGAGAAGGGCUUGCAGUGGGGGAAUCCGGUGGAGGUGACGGGACUCCGAGCAUGUAUCAAGAAGAUGGUGAGCAAUAGGCUCAGGCUCGUCGACGUGGUCCAAGUCAUGCUCAUCCGGCGGAUCCUCCCAUGCCAAGAACGGGCAUUUAAUUUGUGGGAGUUCAUUCCGGAACAGCACCAGGCGCUAAACGGGCUCUUCGAUACAACAUACGAAGGCGCCUGGAGGGUGCUGUUCAAGGGCGCCGAAGCCCCCGUGUCCGCGACUGAAGACCGCGGAUUCAGCUCGCAGAAUCCAACUGACGAGGUAAGUGAUUCAACCCCAUUACGGGACACUUGUGAUAAUUAGAUUGACUCUAGUGAGGUUUCAUUCUGCCUCUUCCUUUGACAGGAAUGGAUGGAGAAGGCCAAGCUGCUCAUCAGCCCGGCUCCCAUGCCAGAAGACCCAGCGAAAGCCCGCUUAACAGGGCUGCUGGUUCCGGCACCGCACGUGGUGCCGGAGAAGAAGGCCAAGAAGGUGGCUGCGGGGACUCGAAAGAGUUCCCGCAAUCAGGCGUCUGACGACGACGAGGACUCCUCUCCCGAAGACGAGGAGGAGGACUCUCUCCCAGAGGAGGGAGAGAAGAAAAGGAAGGCUUCCCCCAUCGGGGAGGCCGAAGGGUCCAAGAGGGGGAGAACUAUCCCCUCGGACAGUUCCGCCAACAUCAGCGUUGGUGAGGAUGAGUGGCCUCCAAGGGCCAGGCGUCCGGCAAGAUCGUAAGUAUCCGGAUCCUUGAUGUGUAAUAAUUCUUUUUAUGUCGCGUAGUAUCCUUCUAACGCCGCAUUCUGCCCGUAGUCCGGCCAAUGAUGAUCUCCCCGACUCAUCGAGCGGGUCAUUGGCUGCGUCGGAUGUAAAUUCCAUCCCGACUGCCUCCACCCCACGCGCCGACGAGGACGCCGAGGUGGGAUCCCAAAGAGGGACCCAUCAGGAGGAGGCUCCGGAGGCGCCGCCAGGCGGCCUCCCGGACUUCGUGCCGGACUGUACAUUGGAACCCGCAGUGGUUCCAGAGUCCGGCAAGCGGCCCCUUCGAAAGAAGGGCAGGACCGUGACGCCGGCGGCCUCCGUCCAACCGGAGGCGCCGGAUAACCUGCUGGAGGCGCUUAAAGGCGCUUCCAUCGAGGAAGAACACCGCACUAUCAUGAGUGCGGUGAUUGAGAAGGUUCAGCUCGCUAAGAGCGGGCUGACCGAAGCCUGCAGCAGCCUUUUAACAGGCUUUGAGGUAAAAGGUUAAAAUUAUGUAAUGUAAUACCGCAUAGACAGUAGCCCCUGAUGCUUAGUUCGGUGUUCGGAAAGAAAAGCCGGACUAAGGAUCUAUAAAAAGAUAUACGCAGGGUUGCCUAAAAUAUGUCAAUAUGGGUUUGCAGGCUGCACUGCUGACCUCUGCCGCACUAAUGGCGGAGGUUGACGUGCUGAAGAAGGAACUCGAGCGGUCCGAGCAAGAGCUCGGCCAUGCAAAGAAGCAGCUCGAGGAAAAAGAAGGUGAGUAACACCUCUUUGAAAAAGUACCUUACAGAAAAGGAUUUUGGUUGCAAAUAAAAUUAACAAGGAUAAUAUGUGCAUUGCAGGGGCCACUAACGAGGUGGCAACCCUGAAGGAUGCUGUGUCCGCGGCCGAACGCAAUGCGGCCGCGGAGCGGGUUGAGCGAGAAAAGCAAGAGGCACGGGUGGCGGAAGUUCGGCAAGAGCUCCAGGUUCUCAUGGAAAAACAUGAGAGUUUGGAGCGUGACUCCAAGACUCGAGAGUCCGAGCUUGCCUCGGCUCUCGAAAGUGCCAAGUCCGCCAAGGCCGAGGCCCAUAAGGCCCUUCAGGAGGUUGAGGACAUAAAGAAGAUAGCGGCGGGUAAGGCGUUUUUCAUGCAAAGCAGGCAUGUUAAUGUGAACUACCUGACACUUACCCGAAUUCGGAGCUCUCCAGGGGCGUUUGAAGAUUUGCCGCAUAGUGCGUCUGAUGCCGCCGCAUUCUAUCGUGGCGAGGAGGGGAGCUCGACGGAGAAGGUCUUCUGGUCUCAGUAUGCUGAGGCCGGCCAUCCGGUGCCCCCAAGCGACCAGCUAAAGCAGCUGGUCGAACUCCACAAGGUAGCUGAGGAGGCCAUGAAGGGCCUCAUAGUCCAGCUGUGGCCUGGACAGGCCAUGCCUGGUAGCUACUUUGGCCUCGUGCGGCAACUGAUAGAUGCAUGCCCCAGGCUGGAUGUAGUCAAGCGCUCCGCCUGUAUCGAAGGUGCUCGUCGGGCUCUUGCCCGCAUAAAGGUGCAAUGGGGCAAAUUGGAUGCGGAGAAGCUUCUCACGGACCCACCGCCGCCGGGAAAGGAGUAUCGCACGCCGGAGAAGUAUUAUAAAAUUGUCCUCAAGGGAGCCUGCAAUAUUGCAGAUGAGUGCUCCCGAAAUGUAAUCUUUGAGUGAACUCGCUGUUUAUUUAUCCUGUGCGCUGAAAACUUCGUUCAUAUGCGCCAUGAGCAAUGCUUGUUUAAUUUAAAAUAUUACCUUCUGUGUGGCCGUUUAUAAAAUCUGAGAGAUGGCAAAUCGUUAGCUUUAGCCCCCAAGCCACAAGUGCUGGGGUGUUCGGGAUAAACUUGAGCACUCUUGUUCCCAUUUUUGGGUCCAUCUAGGGAGGCGCUCAACACGACGAACAAGGCACCAGACUUAUAAUGCUUGAACACUCUCACUUAGCCAUAGAAUUCUAUAAUUUUAAAUUUCGGCGAAGCCCCUAGUAUUCAGAAGACCGAAUCCGGGGCGCUAUCCACGCCUUCAUCGGACAUCAUCCGGAACUUCGCUCGAAGUGGCGUGAGUCUUUAAGGACCCGAAAAAACCUCUCGAACAGCGACCAGUCUCUCGCCUUAUCAUGCCAGUCAGUUUUAGCUUUCUCCACUGAGGCGUUAACCCGGCUCAACCGGGGCGCAAUCGGAGUGGUUCUCCCAGUGCCACCUUAGCCGACAGAAUGGAAUGUAAGGCACCAAAACGUGGGAGCCGGGCAAACCCAACUAUUGACCCAAGACAUGAUUCGGAGCUGAUUCAUAUAAUGCUAUAAGUUCGGGGUGCCGCACUUGUGAAAGUGUUCGGACUUUAUCACACCAUAGAGUGGGGAACAUAAGCCCCUGGUGUAUUAUGACGUACCAAAAUAUACGGGUGCCAGAUGUCAUAUAAUGAGCAUAUAUAUAAAAAAUGUAAUGCAAUUGCGAUCAUAAAGGUGCUGCAUUAUUAAUGAAAGAAAAGUCUGCUAGUAGAGUGGACUGAUACAAAUAGUGCGGUAAGCAAGGGAUUUGGACUAAAUAAACAUGUCCCCCUCCAGGGAUGAUCUGUGGAUUUGGUGUAUAUAAUUGAAUUUAAUGCUCGUAAUUGAGACCACCUGAGUGUUCGACGCGGCCUUCUUUAGCCCUGACUGUUGCAUCAUGAGUUCGGCAGGUUCACCGCCGGACAGGGCUUCUGGUUAACAAAGUCCUGUGUACAAAAAAAGAAGAAAAAUACUAAAAAAAGAGGGGCACAUUUGUGAGCCCCUGGUGUGGUCGAUUGUGAUCGUGCCCCCUCCCCUGUGCCCAUGGUAUCUCCAAAGCAUAAUGAUGUACGCUGAGUGUUAUUCUUGCGAUCAUACGCGGGCGAGGGUUGGGGCCGCAUUGCUACGCAUGCUCUGAUCGCGCCAGGUGGUCUUGGUUGGCAUUGCUCCGGGCGCGCUUUGAUGUAUCCGGCCGUUUAAUGGCCGGACUCGAGAAUUGCCUUAGAAGGCUGCUCUGUACUUCUGCCGCGAGAGCCGCUGUAUGUUCCUCCGUUCGGAGGGAGCGUUCCGUAUUUCCAUUGACCGUGAUGACUCCACGAGGGCCUGGCAUCUUGAGCUUUAGGUGUGCAUAGUGCGGCACCGCGUUGAAUUUGGCAAAUGCGGUUCGCCCGAGCAGGGCGUGAUAGCCGCUGCGAAACGGGACUAUGUCGAAGAUUAACUCUUCGCUCCGGAAAUUAUCCGGGGAUCCGAAGACCACUUCCAGUGUGACUGAGCCUGUGUAGUUGGCUUCCACUCCUGGUAUGACACCCUUAAAGGUUGUCUUUGUAGGUUUAAUCCUUGAUGGGUCUAUGCCCAUUUUGCGCACGGUAUCCUGAUAAAGCAGGUUCAGGCUACUGCCGCCGUCCAUCAGGACUCUCGUGAGGUGGAACCCAUCGACGAUUGGGUCUAAGACCAAUGCGGCGAAUCCACCAUGGUGUAUGCUGGUCGGAUGGUCUCUUCGAUCGAAAGUGAUUGGACAAGAGGACCAUGGGUUGAACUUUGGGGCGACUGGCUCCAUCACAUAGACGUCCCUUAGUGCGCGUUUCCUCUCCCUCUUGGGUAUGUGGGUCGCGUAUAUCAUAUUCACCGUCCGUACUUGUGGGGGAAAACCCUUCUGUCCUUUGUUGUUCGGCGGCCGGGUCUCUUCCUCGUCGUCGCUAUUUAGCCCCUUGUCAUUGUUUUCGGCAAUUAACUUGCCGGCCUGCUUGAACACCCAGCAAUCUCUAUUGGUGUGGUUAGCUGGCUUUUGAGAGGUGCCAUGUAUCUGGCAUGAGCGGUCGAGUAUUCGGUCCAGGUUGGACGGACCCGGAAUGGUUCUUUUAAAUGGCUUCUUCCGUUGACCGGGUUUAGAGCCUCGGAAUCCGGCAUUGACCGCCGUAUCCUCCUUAUCGUCGCCGUUAAUUCGGCGCUUGUUUUUGUUUCCACGUGACCUGCCGUUGUUGUCCUUAGUAUCCGAACUGCCAGAAUUUUUACGGAGAUUGUUGCUGCGGGCUAGCCAGCUGUCCUCUCCCGCACAAAAGCGGGUCAUUAACGAUGUGAGGGCUGCCAUGGAUUUCGGCUUUUCCUGCCCCAGGUGCCGGGCUAGCCAUUCGUCCCGGAUGUUAUGUUUGAAGGCUGCAAGGGCCUCUGCAUCCGAACAAUCGACGAUUUGAUUUUUAUUUGUCAAGAACCGUGUCCAGAAUUGUCUGGCCGAUUCGUGUGGCUGCUGAAUGAUGUGGCUUAGGUCAUCGGCGUCUGGUGGUCGCACAUAUGUGCCUUGGAAGUUAUCAAGGAAUGCGGCCUCCAGGUCUUCCCAACACCCAAUUGACUCUGCGGGCAAGCUGUUAAGCCAAUGCCGAGCUGGUCCUUUAAGCUUGAGUGGGAGGUACUUUAUGGCGUGGAGAUCGUCGUCGCGGGCCAUAUGGAUGUGGAGAAGAUAGUCUUCGAUCCACACCGCGGGGUCUGUUGUGCCAUCGUAAGAUUCGAUGUUUACGGGUUUAAACCCUUCGGGGAUCUGAUGAUCCAUUACUUCGUCAGUGAAGCAUAACGGGUGUGCGGCACCCCUGUAUUGAGCGAUGUCGCGACGCAGCUCGAGGGAGCGCUGUCUGCUGUGUUCGGCCCUACCGGGGUUAUUGUAUCCGGCACGAUGGUAUUCGUCGUGGGUCGUAGGGUGCCCCCAUGAUCCAUAGAUGGAUCUGGAUUGUCUUGCUUUGUCCUCCAAUAUGUCUCGCAAGUCCGGCGCGUUCCCUCUUGGCUUCGUACUAUUGGAGCGAUGCCGGGGUAUGGUCUUGGCUGGUGGCCUGGAUGCCUCUCUGUCACGACCACGGGGUGGUCGGUCAGCCAUAUCGUGCACUGGUGAUGGAUGUACGUAUGCUUCCUCCUCUAAACGGGGGAGCAGCUUGCGUUUUGGGUAACUUUUGGAGGGACGUUCGAGUUUAUACUCUUUGGCCGCGAGGACCUCGGUCCAUCGAUCGGCCAGCAGGUCCUGAUCAGCUUGAAGCUGCUGCUGCUUUUUCUUUAGGCUGUUUGCUAUGGCGAUAAGCCUGCGCUUGAAGCGCUCUUGUUCGACGGGAUCCUCGGGUACGACGAAUUCAUCAUUGUUGAGGCUUGCUUCGUCUUCGGAGGGAGGCAUAUAAUUAUGAUCCUCAACCUCUUCGUCUGCUGCCCCCUCAUGAGGGCUUGCUUCUGCAUCCUCCUGCGCUGAGUCUUGCUGGAGGGGAUUGUCUUCGGCACUCUCUGGAGUAUUAUUAUCUCCUGUGCCGAAAUCUCUAUUCUUGCUGUGGUGAGAUUUAGAGCGGCACCGCUGACGCCGGCUCUUGGGCUGUUUCUUUAAGAGAUCUGCCUCCGCUGUUCCUUCGCCGUCCCCAUCUUUUGGGGUAUCCACCAUGUAUAUGUCAUAUGACGAGGUGGCCUUCCAGUGCCCUGUGGGCGCUGGUUCCUGUUCGUCUCCGGCAUAGUCAUCCAUAGCGUCGAUGUCUUCGGAGUCGUAGUCUAGCAUGUCGGUUAGGUCGUCGACAGUGACUACAAAGUGGGUGGUGGGUGGGCUCUAAAUUUCUUCGUCGUCCGCAUCCCAACCAUCCUGGCCAUAAUCCGGCCAGGGCUCUCCUGAUAACGAGAGAUGCUUUAGUGAAUUCAAGAUAUCGCCGAAAGGUGAGCAUUGGAAGAUGUCCGUGGCGGUGAAUUCCAUAACCGGCGCCCAAUCCGGAUCGAUUGGCAGGGGCGCGGGAGGUUCAGAGUCCGGCGAGGAGUCCGGCGCCUCGGAAUCACGAGUUUCGCAGGGGACAAGAUUAGUGUUCGGCUCCAUCGCCGUGGAUGUUGAAGCCCCCAGGGCGGCGUCUAUCCACCGGCCCUCGAUCUGGGCGAUCGGCUCUGGGCUAAUGGCCGAAGCGGAUCCGUGUGCGGCCACCAAGGCACUGUUCGGCGGCAGAGCUAGAUCAUGCCCAUCGUCACAGUGCGGCGCGCUCGGCUGUGGCUCGAGUCCGUCGAGGAUCAAGUCUCCGCGGACAUCGGCCGUGAAGUUUAAGCUUCCAAAUCUGACCUGACGGCCAGGGGCGUAGCUUUCGAUCUGCUCCAGAUGGCCAAGUGAAUUGGCCCACAGUGCGAAGCCGCCGAAUACGAAGAUCUGUCCGGGGAGAAAAGUCUCACGCUGGACGGCGUUGCAGGUUGAAGAUGCCAUCAAGCCUAUCGGUGACGACACAGAGGAACUCUCAAUGAAAGCACCAAUCUCGGUGUCAAAACUGGCGGAUCUCGGGUAGGGGGUCCCGGACUGUGCGUCUAGGCGGAUGGUAACAGGAGACGAGGGACACGAUGUUUUUACCCAGGUUCGGGCCCUCUCGAUGGAGGUAGAACCCUACGUCCUGCUUGAUUAAUAUUGAUGAUAUGGGUAGUACAAGAGUAGAUCUACCACGAUAUCAAGGAGGCUAAACCCUAGAAGCUAGCCUAUGGUAUGAUUGUUGUAAUGUAUGUUGUCCUACGGACUAAAGCCCUCCGGUUUAUAUAGACACCGAAGAGGGCUAGGGUUACACAGAGUCGGUUACAAUGGUAGGAGAUCUACAUAUCCGUAUUGCCAAGCUUGCCUUCCACGCCAAGGAAAGUACCUUCCGGACACGAGGCGGAGUCUUCAAUCUUGUAUCUUCGUAGUCUUGGAGUCCGGCGGAUAAUGAUAGUCCGGCUAUCCGGACACCCCCUAGUCCAGGACUCCCUCAAUCCUCUUUACUCCAUUCCAUGUAUUGGCUUGAUUUCCUCCAUAUUUAACCCAUUUCAUAUGGAAAUAAAAUAAAGAUCGGACAUUUGGAAUCCUUUGCAUUAAUUAGUUGUUUGUAUUAAUAUGAGAGCGUAUAUCUUGGUUUUUAAGAAAUAUAUCGGUUUAUGCUCAUGUAUUAUGAGUGCAAGAAUAACAUUCGUCAACUCCAUCGAGCUUAGACUUGAUCAUCCUCGACCAACGUAGAGGCAAAUCCAAAACGUAAGGAACUCAGUUGUUUACAACAAAUAAAUGAUUAUGUUUUGCUUCACUUAUGAUCAGCACACCUAGAUAACCCUACACUUCUUGACUUCUAAACUUAGUAUAGGUAUAGCGGUGACAUGAUUAUUACGCAAGUGUUAGUGAAGCAAAGAUAAUCAACACAAAUCUCUUGCUCAACUGGACAAAAUAACAAAGUAACACCUGAUUCUAUUUUUGCUACUAAACACUUGCUUGCUGGGAAUGCACGAAGGUGAAUGCAUUUCUUGAGCAAUGAAAGCUCUUAUUAGGGAGCGAAAGUUAUGCAAAGACAACAUCAUUCUAGAGUAACUCUAACUCACCCACAAGUGUCUCAUCAUCAAGGCUCUCACGAACUUUAUUUAAAUCAUUGCUUGCUGAAUCUUUUGUUAUUUGGUGAUGGGAUGCCAAAGAAAGGAUCAAAAAUAAGGUUUUGUUGUGCUUUAAGUUUGAGUAAUAUGAACUAAUAUGUUGCGACUAUGUACGGUAACAUACUCAUAGCCGAAAUCGGAGUCGAAACUCUAGUGGAUCGUUCAUUGUCCAGUGGAGUUCUCAACAUUACAUCAAGAAAGGUGACAUUCACAUUUACAUGCCUACACGUGCAUGGAGUAGUAAGACCAUUUCACCAGCGUGAAGCUGAAGCGCCAUGUACGAAUAUAGCAAAGGUUUUUGGCAUAAUAUCAUUCACCUUUCAACUAAGUUUCUUUGGAAAAUUUUGUCCACAAGGGCUAUAGAGUCUAUUAAAAUUGACACUAUGGGGUUAGGUAUCUCUAACAACAUCUUCUCUAAAAGUUUUUUCAACACCCAAGUCUUGUGAGACUUUCUGUUGUGCAUGGUUAUUCCUUGUUAACAUAUCACUUUAUUUUAAUAGCCUGAUUUUCAUGGAUUACUUCAGAAAGUUACAAAUACAUAUUUUUUCUCUAAGUUUUGGAAAGUGGUUGCUCCAGUGCCCUGAGCCAUUCAAUGUUCGUAUUAUUAUAUGAAAUUUAAUGUGCAUGGAAACAACCUCUAAAAUGUAACUUUGGCCCAUAAUAUUUUCGUUAUGUAAGGAUACAAGUAUAUAUGGCGAUUAGAUUAUACCAAAACAAGGAAGAAACCAUUAAUAUGAAAAAUGAUAAAGGGGCAAGAAUCAUUGUGCAUUCGCUCCUCUUUAUAAACACCAGUACUAGAAAGAUACGUUCAGAGAAGGACAACAUCAAGAGAAAAUAAACACCGGUUGUCGGUGUCAAAACCGGCGGAUCUCGGGUAGGGGGUCCCGAACUAUGCGUCUAGGACGGAUGGUAACAGGAGGCAGGGGACACGAUGUUUUACCAAGGUUCGGGCCCUCUUGAUGGAAGUAAAACCCUACGUCCUGCUUGAUUGAUAUUGAUGAUAUGGGUAGUACAAGAGUAUAUCUACCAUGAGAUCAGAGAGGCUAGACCCUAGAAGCUAGCCUAUGGUAUGAUUCUAUGUUAUGGUUGUUGUCCUACGGACUAAAACCCUUUGGUUUAUAUAGACACCGGAGAGGGUUAGGGUUACACAAGGUUGGAUACAAAGGAGGAGAUAUCCAUAUACGUAUUGCCUAGCUUGCCAUCCAGGCCAAGUAGAGUCCCAUCCGGACACGAGACGAAGUCUUCAAUCUUGUAUCUUCAUAGUCUAACAGUCCGGCCAAUGGAGAUAGUCCGGCUGUCUGGAGACCCCCCUAAUCCAGGACUCCCAUAGUCAUCCUCCUCCUCUCCGUUUGCCGCUCUCUCAGGAGAGCUGGCUCCUCCAUCCUCCUGCUCUAAAUCUUGCUAGAGGGGUUUGUUGUUUUCUUCGGCACUAUCUGGAGUGUUAUUAUCUCCUGUGCCGGUGUCGGAGUAAUGGGCCACGGGUAAGCUAACCCGAGCCUAGAACCUUUCAAGACAUCGGGGCAGGCUGCGCCCCUCAAGAUCUCAGGACACGGAGCCGCCUUUAGAGAAGUCGGUGGCAAGGCAACCAACUAGCCACUCGCGGCCGAGUCCCAGGAACGACUUCAAGAUAAGCCGACUCCUAACUGCCGACUUCAAAAGAAGCCGAACUUGGGGAGUCGGACCGCGACUCCAACAAACCCCAUAUCCUCAUCGGGAGGGACCGGACCGGGGAGUGGCUAUAGUAAAGCCCGCUCCCGCCCCUUACCAGGGGUAGGCAUGGCCACAGCACGCCGUACCCGGGAAGAUCUCCGUGCGGCGUGGCACUGUUGCCGUGCCGAAGGACCGAAUCCUGCGCCCACGAUGGCUUGUCUGUACGACCAUGGGGCGGCGGGUCCCACCAGCUAGUGGUACCCGAGGAGACGACAAGUGCGCCACCAGUCGGCCCCCGAGAGUCGGCCAGACCCUCCCCCAGGGCCCACGCACCAUUACUCAGUUGUGACGAAGAGUGGCAAUAGUGAUCGCCCGCCAGGCGACGGGGCUGUUGCCAUGACUCCAUGACCAAGCCCGCGUCAUCAGAAGCACGGCUACAGUAAUCAGCAGCCGGCAAGACCUGCCCGCGACGGACGCGUCCUGUCGGCUCCGUACCUAGCCAAUCAGCAGGGCCCACCAGUCGGCGGGCCCCAGUAGUCGACGGAGAAGACGGAGGCCGGAGGCACUGACGGUUGGGCCCGCAUCCAGCCGGAUUACCAUUGUACCCCUGGGGGGUAGGCCUAUAUAAACCCCCCAGGGCACCCAUGUAAAGGGUUGGAAUCCAUUAGUACUAGACCAGAUCAUAUAGAGAGGAGGAAGCUAGUCUUGCCUUCUCCUACCUCUAGGAAACAGCUCAACGAGCAAUCGUGUAAACCCUUUUCCAUAGUGAUCAUGCAGAGACCCUGCACAGCAGCAGUAGGGGUAUUAUCUCCCCAGAGAGCCCUGAAGCUGGGUAAGAUUCGCCGGCGUUGUUAGGACCCCGACUUGAUGUCACAUCGAUCUAGCCGGUAACACCUCAUAUCACUUUGCGGCCUCACGCACGGUAUCCCCACGGGUGUCGCCUUACCUUUGCCCGGGACCGUUUGCGCCUUUUGGCUCACGUAUAUGAUAGUGUCGCUAGCAUCCAUAUGAUAAGGAGCCCGGGCUGACAUGACUAGUCGUAAACCCAAAGUGGCACAGACCUACAGGGACAGGCAUCCAUGACCCAACUUCGAACGUGUCGGUCAUCAGCAAGUGGGUCCGGGCUGUAGCACUGGGCUAGCAGGACUCCGGUAAACCGGGCUGUAGCGGGCUAACAGGACUCCGGUACUCAAAGCGUGACAUUUCCCCGAAGGGACAGACACAGGAACGAAGAAGGACACAUGCCGGCCAGCCUAAGUGUUCCGGAGCAGUAGCAAGCUACCAUGGCUCGGUGGAAACACUAGGAGACAUUUCCCGGUAAGAGAGGCUACUAAAGAUAAACAACUAGAUAGUCAGAUCCCACACAUACCAAGCAUUUCAAUAUCAUACACACAAUAUGCUCGAUAUGUUCAAUACAACAUGGCAUCACAAAAUGACUCUACGACUCAAGUAGUUAUUCAAUAGGCUCCGGGGAGCGAGAUAUUACAAACAUGGGUCUCAUGACCCAACAAUCAGAGCAUACAAGUCAAAGCACAAGCGGAUACUAUCAUGUCUGAGUACAGACAUCUAUAAAUGAAAAAGGCUGAGAAGCCUGACUAUCUAUCAGAUCCUGCCGAGGGCACAAGAUCGUAGCUGAGGUAUCAAGCUAAACGUCGAAGUCCACGUGGAACUACUAGUGAGACUGAAGUCUCUCUGCAAAACAUAAAAUAGGCAAACGUGAGUACAAAUGUACCCAGCAAGACUUACAUCAGAACUAUCUACAUAUGCAUCAUUAUCAACAAAGGGGAUGGUGGAGUUUGACUGCAGCAAGCCAGCUUUGACUCAGUGGCUAUCCUGAACUACGACUGCAAUGUAACUCUUUUGAGGUGGCGCACACGAGUCCACAUAUUCACCAACCAAUACACCACUAUGUAUCCGCUCCCGUCUCCCUACGAGAACGCCAUCCAUAGCACUCACGCUUAUCUUGCGUAUUUUAGAGUAUCCACUUUCACUUGUCUAUGAACUGAUAUAAGCAACCCAGAAGUCCUUUUCCGCGGACACGGCUAUUCGAAUAGAUGAUGUUAACCCUGCAGGGGUGUACUUCUUCAUACAUGUUUCCACCACUUAGCGUCUGCACACGACAUGUGCUCGGCAGACUUCAAGCGAAAGCCGACGUGGGUGUAGACCACGACCUACCUAAACACUCAAGUCUCUAGUCCAGGUUUAUCGCCUAUUCGGGUUCCAUCCAUGAGGAGAUCCGGCCGGAGUUUCGCUCACAGCCCCAAACGAUGUGAACAGGGUUCCCGAGAUACCAAACGGGCAUCCGGUACACCGUGCCACGUACCUACCGCAUCACAGCCCACCCCUUCGGUCAGCGCUGUCCACGGCCUCCAGUAAGCUACAAACACCAGAAACUACUUGCAACUCCUGGACAGAGAGCUAGGGUGAAUAAGAAGUCGAGCGGGGUCAUAUUUCAGGGCCCAAUGUAUGGUAGUAACUGAAUCAUGGAUCACAAACACAGAACUCAGUUCCUGAGGACGGCUGCAAUGAGACAACCCACCAUGUACUCCUACAUGGCCUCUCACCGCUACCUUUACCAAAUCGUGUUCACACACUUAGCUCACACACAGUAGGACAUGUUCACACGCCUCUGAUUCAUCCCCGAUGAAUCAGACCCGACUCAACUCUAAGCAGUAGCAGGCAUGACAGACAAGCAUGAAUGAGUAGGCACAACAGGGCUCAAACAACUCCUACUCAUGCUAGUGGGUUUCAUCUAUUUACUGUGGCAAUGACAGGUCAUGCAAAGGAUAAGGGGGUUCAACUACCGCAGCAUGUAACAGUUGAAUCGGUGUUGUCCUAAUGCAGUAAAAGAGAGCAGGAGCGAGAGGGUAGGAUUGUAUCGGAAUGAACAAGGGGGUUUUGCUUGCCUGGCACUUCUGAAGAUAACAUUGGGUCUUCAUCAGUGUCAACGAUCACAUCAUCGGUAUCACGUCUAUCGAGAGGGGACAAAUACCGGCAACACAGAGAAAACAAUCAAUGCAAUGCACAAUAUGAUGCAUGAUCAUGACAUGGCAAAAUGAAUGUGUUUUGAGCUAAUGCAACUAGCAACAGAUUAAAUGAAGUUGGUUUGAAUACAAGAUUCAAAUUCAAACUCCAUAUGUGAUUAUUUAAAUGCCCUUUAUAUGAUUUGUGCUAAACAGCACCUAUAAGUUGUUCUAACAUGCAUGAAAAUGGUACAGAUGGAUUCCUUGAAUUUUUCUGAUAAUUUUUCAUAUAUAAUUUAUUUAAUUUGGAGUUACGGUUAAUUUUCUAUGAAUUAUUGAAGUUCUAGGCAUUUUCUGGAAUUUCCUGAAUAUUAAUAAAUCCAGAAAAUACUUUAUGACAUCAGCACUGCGUCAUGCUUGCAUCAGCAAGUCAACAGGGCUGCCCCGGGUCAAACCUGACGUGUGGGGUCCACACGUCAGUGACAUAGGGACUAAUCCCGCGUUGACCCGGGCUGGUUAGCUUUGACUACGCCCUGGGCCCACUUGUCAGCGUCAGUAGGUGGGGGGGUUAGUGACUAAUUAACUAAGCCAUGUCGACUUCGCCGGAGUUCGGCCGGCGGCGACCAUUAGUGCGGCGGCGAGAGUGGUUUUGGCCACUCCGGCGACCAAAUGGGCCGCGGAGGGCAUCUAGGAGGAGCUGGGGACGAGCCGAAGCUCCUGGUGGAGUCAGUUGCGCUCGGGGCGGCCGGAAUCGGUGCCGACGGCGAGCGAGGCGGCGGCCGGAGCUCGGGUGAGCUCGGAGUCGGCGUUAGGGAGCGCAGCAGAGGGUGCGGAUGGGUGCUAUGGCCUCCUGGGGGUGCACUGAGCACGGCUGCGUGCUCGGGAGUUGGCUACGGUGACUCUAGCACCGUCUGCGACAUCGCCGGCGGCGAGGAGCUGUCGGCUCCGACAGCCGGGGUGGUUAGAAGGCACGGACGGGCACGGGGAGAGAGGGGAAAUGGACAGGGGCUCACGAGGGGUCGGGAGAGAAGCUCGGUGGGCUCGGGGAGGCCUCUACAACGGCGAAUUGACGACGGCGAUCUCCGGGCACCGGGGAUGAAGACGAUGAUGCUCCGGUCAUUUUCGGCCUCCUCUGAUCACGUGCGUCGGUGGGUAGCUCCACGGGGUCAGGGCGGAGCUCGGGUACACGGAGAGGGGGCGAGGGAGUGGCUGUGGUUGCGGUGGUUGCGAGCGGCGGCGGCGGAGGCGUUCGGGUGUGCGAGAGGGAGAGGCGAAGGAGAGACAAAGGGGACGAGUGAGGGGGUCCAGGGGUUCGAGGCGGCGCCGAGGAGAAAGCCCGAGGCGUCGCGGUGGCGAGGGACGCAGGCAGGCAGGGAGGUGGCGUGUCGCCACGGCGCGCGCGUGCGCUGUCUCCCUCCUCUGCCUACUGGCAGAGGUAGAGGACGACUGGCACCAGGCCAGUGGGCUGGGCUGUCCACUGGGCCAGCCAGGUAAGGCCCAGGUAAGACUCUGCUCUUUUUAUUUUUGCUCUGUUUUAUUUUUUUAAACAUUGUUUUCUAUUUGUUUCAAUCUGUUUUGAUUUAGUUCAAACACUAAAUCAUUUUUGUUUCUUCCAAUAAUUUUUGCAGGGACUGAAAGUAAUAUUCUAGAGCCCCUCACAAAAUAUCAGAAUUAUUGAAGCAUUAAAAAUAUAUAUAACAUAUAUUUGCUCCAACUCAAAUACAAUAUAUAUUAGUUCAAAGAUCCAAAAUGACAUGGAAAAAUGUGCAUCAUCUCUGGUUACUGUUUCCAGCAUUUUUCCAAAGAUGAUGAACAUUUUUGAAAGCCACUUGGAUUGACUGAAAAUAUUUUAGGUGAACCUGGUGAAUUCUUAAAAUGCUAGGGUUUGGACAAUCCCCAUUUCAACUUUCUGUAAAAGUAAACAUGAUGCAUCACCAAAGGCUAGUACUAGUGCAAUGCCAGAAGCUAGGGAUGUGACAGGCGUGCAUGUCUUCGCCUCAUCCCGUUUCCACGCACCGGCGACAUUCUACUCGCCCCCACCAUGAUAAGCCAUCCUUUGGCAUAUGUCGCACUCAACCCCCGACAUUUGGCGCCAUCGUGUGGCCUGGUGCACCGUCAUCCGGAGACAUGUUCUGGACGGGAACCCUUUUCCUCCCUGGCGAGCGCAGCCAGCUAGGCACGCCAGACGGAGUUUGCGCCAACGUGCUGCAUGGCGUUGAGCUCGCCUAUGCAGCUAGCCGCCUUGCCGAACUUGUCGGCAAGGUUCGCAUCUCCGACGAACCUGCAUCCGACGCAGGCACGGGCGGCUCCAAGAGCCUCCUCGUGGGCCUCCUCGAUCAACUCCACAUCGUCGGCGAGCCUACCGUGGACUUGGAGUCUGUAGGUUCCACUGACCCGAUGCUAGUCAACUCCGACACCGCGUCGCUCGAUGCGUUCCCCACUAAUGUGGUCGUCUAUGACGAGCCUCUCCCUCAUUCGGAGAGCGGCGGAAGCACCGUCACCGAGGUGCUCGUCAUCAGUCAUGACGAGCUCCCCGGCGGAGGAGCGCAUGACCCACUUGGCACGGUGCUACAAGACCUGACUGUGCCCAUUCCGGAAGACGCUGACGUGGAGACGUUGGAGGCGCGCCGCCUUCAGCUGGUCGAAGGAGCGAAGAAGCUGGCUAGCAUGAGACGCUUGUCAGAAGCCUACCAGCGAGAGAUGGAUUGCGUUGUUGGUGGCUCGCCAGCCCCAGCAGGGCCCAGCCGCCUUGGCACGGUCCAGCAGUGCGGCGUAGCCAUCGCCAACCUGUUCAGGGCAAGUCGCCCUGUGUACGCUACACCUGCGGAGAACAUUCAAGCCGCCCAGGCGGCGAUGGACGAGCUGGACAAUUUCGAGGGUGAAGAGCGCCGCCUGAUGAUGGAGCGAGUCCAGCGGCUCCUCGAUGCGGCUGCCGCGCAGAACGAGGCCGGUUUCCGCACAGAGGCGCCGCAGUGGCAAAACGACGACCUUCGCCGUGACCAAGGCGUGAUGUCUCGAACGCCGACUGGCGGCGCCCGGGGAAGAAAGGACAAGGAUCCAACUGUCAGCCACAGCCGGACUCACAUUACCAUAGAGCGCGACCGAGACGGCCGCCCAAGAGCAGUAGAACGACGGGAUGACUGUCCGCCUCCUCCUCCUCGGAGGGAAAGGCGAGUCUCCCCGCUGCCUGUUGGUCAUCUGACUCUUGGCGACCGCCUUACUGCCGAGAGGGAGUCGGGGAAAACGACGCCUGCCACCGGAUCGACCGGCUUCACCGAUCCCUAGCGCUGGAAGAAGAAGACGACUUGGGUCCGCCUUGUUUCGGGCCCCGCAUUCGAGACGAGCCCUUUCCCAAAGGGUUCACGCUCCCAAGAGACACGCCCAAGAACACCGGCUCCGUGAAGCCGGAAGACUGGCUAGUCGACUUCUCCAUGGCUGUCAGCAUAGCGAACGGCAACAAGCGUGUCGCCAUAAAAUACGUUCUGCUCAUGCUCCAGGGCACGGCCGAGACAUGGCUGAACAGCCUGAAGCCCCGCAGCAUCAACAGCUGGGUCGACUUCACUGAAGCAUUCGUCUGCAACUUAACCAGCACGUACAAGCGUCCUCCCAAGCCUCAUCAGCUCUCCUUGUGCAUGCAAGGUCCCGACGAGUUGACUCGCGACUACCUCACGCGUUGGGCCGAGCUUCGGAACUCCUGCGAGGGCGUGCACGAGGUGCAGGCUAUCGAGUACUUCACCACCGGGUGUAGAGAAGGCACCCUCCUCAAGCACAAGCUCCUCUGCGACGAGCCAGAAACCCUCGAUGAGCUGCUGAUCAUAGCAGACAAGUACGCCACGGCCGACUCCUCCAUGAAGGCGGAGAUGGAAGUUAGGGCAACUGGCAAAGUGGCCCCUCAAGCUCCAAGAACUCCGGCGGGAGAUGCCUGUCGGUGGCAACAGCAGAGCGACCACAAGCGCAAGGCCCCACAGCCGGCUUCCAACAGCCAGCAGGUUGCGACAGUCGAAGCCCAGCAGCCUGAUGGGCAGCCUUCGCCCAAGUGACAGAAAGGUGGCAAGCCUAACUGGUUGCCGGCCUUCUCAUACAAGCAAACCCUGGAUGGUCCUUGCAAGUUCCAUAGCGGCGCGAAUCCGAAUCACGCCACCCGGAAGUGCCACUGGCUCACCGGGAUCGCCAAAGGAGACGGCCUCCUACCUCCCCCGCCUGCUGGGCAGCCGCCGCCGCCGCCUCUGCCCUAGCGGCCGGCUGUGAGGCCAUUUGGUGCAGUACAAGGCGAAUACCCCGAAGAACACGGAGCCUACAUGGUAUUUACCAGUAUGGCUCAUGAUCGACGCAGCAGGCGGCUGCAGUGACAAGAGGUGAAUGCAGUAGCGUCGGAGACGCCAGAGUUCAUGCACUAGUCCAAAAAGCCUAUCAGCUGGAGCAGGGCUGAUCACCCAGAGGUGAUGCCGAGUCUGGGCUCUUAUGCCUUGGUCCUGGAUGCCACCUUUGCCACGGAUAGAUGAGCUGCUCGUUUCUCGCGAGUUUUGAUAGACGGAGGCAGCAACAUUAACAUCCCGUACAAGGACACCAUGGAGAAAUUACGAAUCAAGCAAAGACAGCUUCAGAACAGCCAGACUUUGUUCCACGGCAUUGUUCCUGGGCUUUCCUGCUCACCAAUCGGCAAGAUCCUGAUGGAUGUCCUCUUUGGAGAGUCAGUUUGGUUUGAGGUGGUGGACCUUGAGAGCCCAUACAAUGCACUACUCGGCCGACCCGCCUUGGCCAAGUUCAUGGCGGUCCCCCACUACGCCUACCUCAAAAUGAAGAUGGCCAGUUCCAGGGGGAUUCUGACCAUAGCCGGCGACUACCGGAAGUCAUCUGCCUGUGCGGCUGAGAGUAGUCGGCUAGCCGAGUCCCUGGUAAUCGCGGCCGAGAAGCGGCUCCUUGAACGGGUUGUGGCGAUGGCCGGCAAGCAGCCAGAGGUAUCGCCCAACCAAAAGGAGUCAGAGGCUGAGGGUUCGUUCAAGCCGGCCAAGGAGACAAAGAAGAUACCCUUGGAUCUGGAGCACCCAGAGAGGUACGCUGUCAUAGGCACAAACCUCGACAGCAAAUAGGAAGGCGAGCUCGUCGAUUUCCUCCAUGAGAAUCGGGACAUCUUCGCAUGGUCCCCCAAAGACAUGCCAGGUGUACCGACGGAAUUCGCCGAGCACAAGCUACAUGUCCGAUCUGAUGCAAAGCCGGUCAGGCAGCCCCUACGCCGCCUAUCAGAAGAGAAGAGAAGAGUUGUCAGAGAAGAAAUAGCCCGGCUCCUAGCAGCCGGCUUCAUUAUGGAAGUAUUCUUUCCAAAGUGGCUAGCCAAUCCGGUCCUGGUACUGAACAAGAACAAGCAGUGGUGAAUGUGUAUUGACUACACGAGCCUCAACAAGGCCUGCCCCAAGGACCCGUUUGCUCUACCAAGAAUUGAUUAGGUGAUAGACUCCACCGCCGGAUGUGAGUUGUUGAGCUUUUUGGAUGCAUACUCAGGAUCUCACCAGAUCAAGCUGAACCCGGCUGACAGACUGAAGAACGCCUUCAUCACGCCACUUGGAGACUUCUGCUACCUCACCAUGAUGUUCAGCUUGAGGAAUGAUGGCGCCACCUUUCGGCGUUGCAUGCAGAAGUGCCUCCUCAAGCAACUCGGGAGAAACUCCCACGUCUACAUGGAUGAUGUGGUGGUAAAGACGGAAAAGCGUGGAACACUGCUGGAAGACCUCAGGGAGACUUUUGAGAACCUCUGCCGAUUCCAUAUCAAGCUCAACCCCGAGAAGUGCGUCUUUGGAGUACCAGCCGGCCAACUCCUUGGCUUCCUGGUCUCCGAACGCGGCAUAGAAUGCAACCCUGUAAAGAUCAAGGCCAUUGAGAGGAUGGAGGUACCCAGCCGACUGCUGGACGUACAAAAGUUCACCGGCUGCUUGGCGUCCAUCAGCCGGUUCAUCAGUCGGCUCGGCGAGAAAGCUCUCCCCUUAUACCAACUCAUGAAGAAGACCACUUUCUUCGAAUGGAACCACAAGGCGGACGAAGCUUUUCUCCAGUUGAAGAAGAUGCUGACUACUCCACCCGUUCUGGCGGCUCCGACUCCUAAGGAACCUAUGCUCCUGUACAUCGCCGCCACCAGCCGGGUAGUCAGCACGGUCAUUGUAGUGGAACGCAAGGAGAAAGGCAAGGCACUACCUGUCCAGAGACUGGUAUAUUACCUGAGUGAAGUACUGUUGGCCUCCAAGCAGAACUAUCCCCACUACCAGAGGAUGUGCUAUGGCGUACACUUUUCCUCCAAGAAAUUGAAGCCUUACUUUCAAGAGCAUCCAAUCACGAUGGUCUGCACAGCCCCACUUGCCGAGAUCAUCGGAAGCCGAGAUGCUUCUGGCCGAGUGGCCAAGUGGGCUAUAGAGCUGGCUCCCUACACCAUCCACUACCAGCCCUGCACCGCCAUCAAGUCACAAGCACUGGCCGACUUUCUCGUCGACUGGGCCGAGACCCAGUACCUACCUCCAGCGCCCGACUCCACCCAUUGGUUGAUGCAUUUCGACGGCUCCAAGAUGCGCACCGGCUUGGGAGCCGGCGUCGUCCUCACUUCCCCUAAAGGCGACAAGCUCAAAUACGCACUGCAAAUCCAUUUUGCCGCCUAAAACAACGUCAUUGAGUAUGAGGCGCUCAUUCAUGGGCUCCGGCUUGCCAAAGAACUUGGCAUUCGCCGGAUCCUGUGUUAUGGCGACUCGGACUUAGUGGUCCAACAGUCAUCUGGCGACUGGGACGCCAAAGAUGCAAACAUGGCGAGUUACUGUUUCCUCUUGUAGCAACUCAGUGGGUAUUUCGAGGGGUGCGAGUUCCUCCAUGUGCCAAGAAACAACAACAACCAAGCAGAUGCCUUGGCACGAAUCGGCUCUACCCGCCAAGCAAUACCAUCCGGCGUCGCCCUUCAACGCCUCCUCAAGCCGUCUGUCAAGCCUUCACCAGAAUCAGACUCCAUCUUCGUGCCGGCUCCUCCCGAAGAAGUCGGAUCCGACCCCAGAGCCCCGGCAGACGGUACGGGGAUUUUGGCAGAUGGCUCCAAAGUCACCACAGUCAAGGCCGGCCCGGGGACUGCGGCGGCGGGCUCAAAGACUCCAGAACUCGGCCCAAGAGCCGCGCCAGUCGGCACGGGGACUUUAUUAACCCAGCAAGCGGUUGUUGACUCCAACCCGCCGCCUCCCAGCCCAACCGCCCUCAUCCAAGUCGCAGUUCUGGCAGUCGAAGAAAUAGCAGCACAGGCAAGUACAACGCUGAGCGGCAGCCUACACCAUAGUCAACAAAGAGCUGGUCAGGCCCAGCGUCACUGGUGUCUACCAGCGCUGCGUAGAGCCAGAGCAAGGCCAAGCAAUUCUCAAAGACAUCCAUUAAGGCGAGUGCGGCCACCAUGCGGCUUCAAGAGCACUCGUCGCAAAAGCCUUUCGACACGGUUUCUUCUGGCCGACUGCCUUAGAAGAGGCCAAGGAAUUGGUCCAAAAAUGCAAAGGGUGCCAGAAGUUCAGCUCCAAGCCGCACCAGCUGGCUUCUGCACUCAAGACCAUCCCCAUUGCCUGGCCUUUCGCAGUUUAUGGUCUAGACAUGGUGGGACCAUUCAAGACGGCACGAGGUGGCUUAAAUCACUUACUUGUCGCAGUCGACAAGUUCACCAAGUGGAUAGAUGCGAAGCCAAUCAAGAAACUGAACGGUUCGACUGCCGUGACUUUCAUCUCCGAUAUCACAAUUCGGUAUGACAUACCACACAGCAUCAUCACCGACAAUGGCACAAAUUUUGCCAAAGGCGCCUUGGCCCGUUUUUGCGCAACACAGGGCAUCCGACUGGACCUAGCGACCGUCGCCCAUCCACAGUCAAAUGGCCAGGUGGAGCGAGGAAAUGGCCUCAUCCUGUCUAGCAUCAAGCACCGGCUGGUCGAGCCUUUGGAGCGCUCGGUUGGCUGCUGGCUCGAUGAGUUGCCAGCCGUCCUCUGGAGUCUGCGGAUGACUCCAAACAAGUCAACCGGCUUCAUGCCUUUCUUCCUCGUCUAUGGUGCCGAAGCCGUCAUCCCAACGGACAUAGAGUUCAACUCCCCGCGAGUCACCAUGUACACCGAGGAGGAAGCAGAAGAAGCACGUCAAGACGACGUCGAUCUGCUGGAAGAGGGCCGGCUGUUGGCACUCAGCCGGUCCAGCAUCUACCGGCAGAGCUUGCGCUGAUACUACAACAGGAAGGUCAAGCGAAGAUCUUUCCAAGAAGGCGACCUUGUGCUCCGGCUGAUCUAGCGAACAGCCGGCCAGCACAAGCUGUCGGCACCUUGGGAAGGCCCUUUCAUCAUCAGCAAAGUGCUGGGCAACGACUCCUACUACCUGAUUGACGCUCAGAAGCCCCGAGCACACAAGAGGGACGACUCCGGCAAAGAGACAGAGCGGCCAUGGAAUGUAAAUAUCCUCUGAAGAUUUUACAGUUGAUGCGGUAUGUACCACGCUACCUUUUGUAUUAAAGUUCCAAGACUUCGGGCCCCCCGAGACGAGCUCAGGGAUUGCCCUCUUUUGUCUAUAUGAUAAAAGUUAGGCCUACGAGUAUGUUACUCUUUGAUUGCCGCUGGGCACCGAGCUCGACAGGUCGGCCCAGGGACUUGCCGCCUUGCACUAUGAAAUGCUUCCUGCAGCCGGACAAGUAGUGUGACGCCUAAGCCGUCUCCUGUCAGAAGCCGCAGCUCGCAGGGCGACUGUACGGUGGGCAGGAGUAAGGUAGAAUGGGCGUUCACAUGAAAAAUGGCUAAGGACUCAAAGCAUAGAACAUAGCUUAAAGCCGGCUUCCAGGCUUCCUUUUUUCUUUUCGCAACCCGACUAUUAAGCAGUCGGCUCACUGCCUUCUAUUCAACUUGCUAAAAAAACUCUAAAACGACUAAGUACUUGCCUCCCCAAAGUAGCUAAGCAUUUGAUCCAACGGCAGUCCACGGAGCGGCUGUCCAACUGGCAAGACAGGCAACUAAGGGAAAGCAGCAAGGAAAAAGCCAAAAGAGUAAUGAGCAAGAAAAGAUAGAAUUCGGAUAAAUAUUUACAUAGCAUAGGCCCUUGGCCGAAUCUUCGAGCAGAAGUUCAAAAUACACCCCACGGGUGGAAUUGUGCAAAUUAACAAGUUCUUCAAAGACUACUAAAGCAGAUAAAAUAAAGAUAAGGCGCCAGCCUAAGAUGCCGUAGACGGAUUCGAAGGGUCGGAGGAGACGGCAGCGUCAGGCGUUGGGGCGGCCGACUGGGCAGUCUCAGCUCGAUCACCCCCGGCGGCAGUCGUCUCGGUCGCACGCGGCUCGUUGCAUGAUGCACGGUUGAGCUGAGGCUGGCCGUCCACUCCGUCUUAUGGUUCUUCCGUCUCACCUCCAUCCUUCGCCUCGCCUUCCUCCUCGCCGCUGGAACCGAUCACCUCCGCCGAGUCCUCGUCGUAGUCUGGGUUCAUCCCAAACCACUCCGGCGGUACCUCCUCGCCGUCUUCAGACCGCUCGAGGACGAAGAUGCUGGUGUCGGUGUACUCGGCGAUCGCCGCAGCACGCUUGACGAGGGCGUCUUCCGCAGCUUCCAGCUCCGGCUGGGCCUCUGACCGGAGUGUGGCCAGCCGGUCUAGAUCCAGCCCCGGAUACCAUGCCUUGACGAAUUCCAAGGCCCGGCGCGCUCCAGCUCGGGCCGAGGAACCUUCCAGGCUUCAAGACGACCAGCCGCGACCUCCAGCCAGUCGGCAGUCCGACUGGGGGUGCGCGGAGCCUGCAUGUCCAGCCACAGGGCAGCAAUCGCCUGGGCGCCGACACGUUGAAGCCGGCGCAACAUCCGGUGAGUCGGCCGAAGGCGAGCCUCGAUGCUCAGGAUAUGCUCAUCAAGGGUUCGUGGGCGUCAGCGGCGAUCUCUGCACCUUCCGCCCUCCGACCUUCACGGUCAGCCUCGAUGGCUUGGAUGGCAGCGUGCGAGUGCCUAGGGAAGAAGUCUGCCAAGACGGAAGCAACGAAGAAACAAGUCAAAAACCGGGAGUCAGCACGAUUUAUAAUCGGUAGCUCGAAGAAAGAAACUAAAGAAACUCACCAUCCACAAUGUCUUCAAUCUCAUGGAAACCGGAGGCCAGCAUUGCCUCUUUGUCAGCACAGGAGGAGCGCUCGCUUGUGAACUCGGCCAGGAGGGCGGUUUCCGCCUCUUCCGCCUCCUUCUGCGUCUUCGCAAGCAGCUCCCUCUGCUCUGCCAAUUGAGUGGCCAGCAGAUCGCCCUCUGUGGCGAGCUUGCUGCACUCCUCCCCCUUGGCGCACAACACGGAGUUGGCUUCGCUCAGCUGCUGUUGAAGAACAACGUUGGCUUCUAAAAAGAAGGAAGAAAGAAGGCAGUAAGUCAUCAGUAAAGAAGGUCACCGGGGAGAUCCGGCCAGACUGCUCAGCAGUCGGCCCGAAUCUCGGGGACUACAGCCUGCGGGUGUGCCAGCGCGCCCCCACAAAGAAGAAAAAGGACUCACUCUGGCUCUCCGACAAGUCGGCGGUCCGCUUGCCUAGCUCUUCAAUGUUACGGUUGAAGGCAGUAACGCGGAGGUUGUGGUAGGUCCUGCGACAAAAUAUUUCUGACAAAAGUAAGUACCUAGAACUCAGCAAUUGGAGUUCCGGGCCGCCUGCUCAGCAGCCGGCCCGAAACACUGGGACUACACCCAGUGGGUUCACUGGCGCACCCCCACAGAGAGGAACAAAAACAAGAAAAAAAAGAGGACCAAAGAGAAAGCAUACCCGGACGGCUCCUCGCGAUGCCAGGUAUGCCUUGGUGCAAUUCUGGAUCGCGUCGCCGUCAGCUCGCAGCUUCAUCUGGACGUCCAGAAGCGCCUACUUCAGCGGCCCUGUGCCGCCACCUCGCACCGACCCAAUGGGCGCGGCGCUCGUUGCUUCGGCGUCUGGGAUGGCCGAGCUGGCGGUGCUGGUCUCCAGGGUGCGUAGCGCUGAAGUCGCCUUCUCAAGACAGCGGCGCGUUGGCGAGCCGGCUUGAAGGAGUAGCCUCGCCACGGCCUCAUCUUCAGUCAGCGGCACCAGUGGGUCCGCCGGCUGUUCGCCUUGCGCGCCCCCAGAUGGCGGCGGAGAUGGCGGCGGAACGAUCACGACCGGCGUGGAGGAGUCGCCGCCUUCCCUCUCCAGGAUGGGGUUCUCGCCGCCGGCUUCCCCAGUCUGCCCCGUGAACUCCGGAGGCGGUGGCGCAGAGUUCAGCGGGGUGACGAACACCACCGAUUGGCGGUGCGCGGCCUCCUCAACCUGCCGCUUCAUCGCGGCGACGGCUUCGGCCUCGGCCAGUUUCUUCUUGGCGGAGGCCUCCGCCUUAUCGGCCUCCACCUUCUCCAGGUGGGCGGCCUCUUCCUCAUUGCGCUUCUCCUGCGCAUUCCGCUCCAUCGCCUCCCGGAGGUCGGCGGCGGGGUCAAUCCGCCGAGUGGAGGCGGACGUCUCCACUGACCCCAUGACGGAGGCGGCGACGGCCCUCCCAAGAGUGAGGGGAGCCCUAAAGCAAGGGAAGCAAGUAAAAUACUCAGACAAAGCUACAAAGAAAGAAUAAAGCGUUGAGGCGGAAUACUCAUGCGGAGACCAGUGGCGGCUUCUUCACUUCCUUACGGAAGCGGAUGGCCUUCGCAGCCGCCUCGUCCCGCCGAGUCGCUGCAGCCGAACUCUUGGGCUUCUUCGGCCGACUGUCGAACAAGGUCGGCAUGGCCCUACGCUUCUUCCCUCCGCCUGGAGCACCUGACGCGGCAAAAGAGCCCGCGCCGGGGUGGCUGGCUCCUGGCCGAUGGCGGGGGGCGACCUCCUCCUCAUCAUCAAGCCAGUCCUCUAGGCUGGCCCCCGAGCUGCGGGCCGCCUUCUCCCUCCGCGUCGUCUUCCAAAGCCGCCGCUCCCAGAUCGGGGGUCUUCGACGUUGCUCUCUGCCCGAUCGGCAAGGAACUCGCGGGCCGGCCCCGUGGUGCCGGCUGGUGGACGGAGGAGGGGAUUCUGACUAAAGCUGACUGGUCGGGCCGCACAAAACAAACUCGGCAAGAAAGAAGACAAUCCAAAGAAAGAAAGAAAAGGCAACUCACUGUGGGUGGGGGGUUGGCGCGGGUGUACGACUCCUUGCCAAACCGCCAGUCCUCCAGGAGCUUGCUGUCCGAGAGGUAGUUCACCAUCUAGGCCACCUCCUCGUGAGGCAUGUCCUUGGUGCACAUCCGACUCGGGUCACGGUGCCCGCUCAUUAGGCAUAUCAUGUUGGGGCGACCUUGGAGCGGGAGAACUCGGCGUGCCACGAAGGCGGCCAGCAGGUCUGGACCAGUCAAGCCCUCCGACUGCGUCAGCACUCGGAGUCACUCGACAGCAUCGGCUCCCGCGGGCGUCAGCGACUUGGCCCAAUAUGACCGGUUGGGCAGUCUCCCAGCCGGCGGGCCAACUUCGAAAGACGGCAGGUUGACCCAAUCACCCCUCGCAAAGACAAUCUUGACGUAGAAGUACGAUCGCUGCCACAUCUUCACCGACUUUAUCAGCUUGAUGGUGGGGAAGUGGUUGUCGGCCCCCAAUCUCCGCACAGCGAUGAAAGCGCCGCAUUGAGCCGGCACGCCUGCAGGCUGGGUGCCGAGCUUGGAGAAGAAGAACUCCCCCCAGAGCUCAAGGGUGGGGAGGACUCCGAGGAAGCCUUCACACAAGGCCACGAAGGAGGAUAGCAGCACCACCGUGUUGGGCGUGAGAUGGUGCGGCUGGAGGCCGUAAACUUCCAGAAAAGAGCAGAAGAAGCUGCUCGCCGGCAUCCCCAGUCCGCGCAGGCAGUGCGAGCGGAAGAUGACCCGCUCGCCCUCCUCUGGCGCUGCGGAAAUCUCCCCCCUUGGCAUAAGACGCACCCGCACGUAAUCUUCGCUGGGGACCUGACAAGUCUUGCGGAGGAACUCGAUGUGGUCGUCGUGAACUUCUGAGCCGUCCGAGGUGCCGGAAUGCACCGAGGGAGGCGCGGUGGCAGAAGAAGAACUCAUCGUGAGCUGAUCGCCGCGGCGUUCGACAAAGCUUGGGCGCGCGGCGGAGCGAAGAAGAAGAAGAAGAAGGAGAAGAGCAAGGAGUAGUGGGAAGGAGGGGCGCGCGUGCUCUGCCGCGCCCCCUCCUCCCCCUACUUAUAGCCUCAUGGGCUGCGAAGCCAAGGGGGCGGUCGUGGGAUUUACUACGCCCACGACCCCCACGUUUCCAUGCCAAAGUUACUGCGUGCAGUAAUUUCACAAGAAUCCCAACCGUCCGCUCGGGCCACAGCGGAUCCGCUUGGGCGCCGAGGCACGGUAAUGGCGGGCCCCUCCUACGGGCCCGUCCCAUCACGCAAGCAGGCUGGCAGACUGGCCCGGCCGCGCGUUGCCAUGUGAGGGGCCCGGAACGGGUGGUGGCCUAGAAGCUUAGCCAGCACGCUACUUGGAUCCCGCCACGACGUUCGAAAUACUGUGCAAGUCAGAGUUAAGCGGGUCCGACUCCUUCUAGUCGGCCCGGCGGAAAUCAAGCAAGAAUCCUGUGUUGAGCACCCGGAAAGAGAAACUGCUGAGGCUUCUCGGCCGAUCGUCCGUGGCGCUUCAUCAGCUUCGGGGACUACUGUCGGAGUAAUGGGCCAUGGGUAGGCUAACCCAAGCCCCAGAACCUUUCAAGACAUCAGGGCAGGCUGCGCCCCUCAAGAUCUCAGGACACGGAGCCGCCUUUAGAGAAGUCGAUGGCAAGGCAACCGACUAGCCACUAGCGGCCGAGUCCCAGGAACGACUUCAGGAUAAGCCGACACCUGACUGCCGACUUCCUAAGAAGCCGACCUUGAGGAGUCGGACCGCAACUCCAACAAUCCCCAAAUCCUCAUUGGGAGGGACCAGACCGGGGAGUGUCUACAGUAAAGCCCGCUCCCACCUCUUACCAGGGGCAGGCAUGGCCACAGCAUGCCGUACCCAGGGAGAUCUCCGUGCGGCGUGGCACUGUUGUCGCACGGCUUGUCUGUAUGACCCUGGGGCGGCGGGUCCCACCAGCCAGUGGGACCCCAGGAGACGACAAGUGCACCACCAGUCGGCCCCCAAGAGUCAGCCAGACCCUCCCCCGGGGCCCACGUACCAUUAAUUAGAUGUGACAGAGAGUGGCAAUAGUGAUCGCCCGCCAGGCGGCGGGGCUGUUGCCACGACUCCAUGACCAAGCCAGCGUCAUCAGAAGCACGGCUAUAGUAAUCAGCAGCCGGCAAGACCCGCCCAUGGCGGACGCGGCCUGUCGGCUCCGUACCUAGCCAGUCGGCGGGCCCCAGCAGUCGGCGGAGAAGACGGAGGCCGGAGGCACUGACGGCUGGGCCCGCGUCCAGCCGAAUUACCAUUGUACCCCCUGGGGGGUAGGCCUAUAUAAACUCCCAGGGCACCCAUGCAAAGGGUUGGAAUCCAUUAGUACUAGACCAGAUCAUAUAGAGAGGAGGAAGCUAGCCUUGCCUUCUCCUACCUCUAGGAAACAACUCAAGGAGCAAUCGUGUAAACCCUUUGCCAUAAUGAUCAUGCGGAGACCCCACAGAGCAGCAGUAGGGGUAUUAUCUCCUCGGAGAGCCCUGAAGCUGGGUAAGAUUCGUCGGCAUGCAUGUCUUCACCUCAUCCCGUUUCCAGGCACCGGCGACGUUCUACUCGCCCCCACCAUGAUAAGCCAUCCUUUGGCAUAUGUCGCACCCAACCCCUGAUAGUCGGUAUCACCACUUUUGCUUUGGCAGGACUUAGAGUGGUGCCGCUGACGUCAGCGUUUGGGUUUCUUUUUGGAGGGGUCAUCCUCCGCUAUCCCGUCGCCAUUGCCUUCCAUGGGUGUACCCACCAUGUAUAUGCCAUAUGACGAGGUGGCUUUCCAGUGCCCUAUAGGUGCUGGUUCAUGUUCGUCUCCUACAUUGUCGUCCAUACUGUCGAUGUCUUCAGAGUCGAAGUCGAGCAUGUCGGUUAAAUCAUCGACAGUGGCUACGAAGUGGGUGGUGGGUGGCCCUCGAAUUUCUUCGUCGUCCACAUCCCAAUCCUGUUGGCCAUAAUCCGGCCAGGGCUCUCCUGACAAAGAGAGAGACCUUAGUGAAUUCAGAAUGUCGCCGAAUCGAAUUCCAUGAUCGGCGCCCAAUCGAAUUCGAUUGGCAGGGGCGCGGAUGAUUCGGAGUCCGAAAAAGAGUCCGACACCUUGCAGUCACGGGCUGUGCAGAGGGUUAGGCUGGUGUUCGGCUCGAUCGCCGUUGAGACUACAGCCCCUGAGGCGGUGUCUAACCACCCGUCCUCAACUGGCGCAGUUGGCUCCGAGCUAAGGGUCAGAGCUGAUGUGGGCGCAGCCUCUGGGGUACUAUUCAGCGGCAGAGCUAGGUCAUACCCAUCGCGACAGUGCGGCGCGCCCAGCUGUGGCUCGAAUCUGUCGAAGAUCAAGUCUCCGCGGAUGUCGGACAUGUAGUUCAAACUUCCAAAUCUAACCUGAUGGCCAGGGGCGUAGCUUUCAAUCUGCUCCAGAUGGCCAAGCGAAUUAGCCCGUAGUACAAAGCCGCCGAAUACGAAGAUCUGUCCAGGGAGAAAAGUAUCACCGUGGACCUCAUCCCUAUUGUUGAUAGUAGGAGCCAUCAAGCCUAAUGGUGACGACACAGAGGAACUCUCAAUGAAAGCACCAAUGUCGGUGUCAAAACCGGCGGAUCUCGGGUAGGGGGUCCCGAACUGUGCGUCUAGGCCGGAUGGUAACAGGAGGCAGGGGACACGAUGUUUUAUCUAGGUUCGGGCCCUCUUGAUGGAGGUAAAACCCUAUGUCCUCUUGAUUGAUAUUUAUGAUAUGGGUAGUACAGGAGUAGAUCUACCACGAGAUCAGAGAGGCUAAACCCUAGAAGCUAGCCUAUGGUACGAUUGUAUGUUAUGGUUGUUGUCCUACGGACUAAAACCCUUCGUUUUAUAUAGACACCGGAGAGCGUUAGGGUUACACAAGUUUGGUUACAAAGGAGGAGGUAUCCAUAUCCGUAUUGCCUAGCUUGCCUUCCACGCCAAGUAGAGUCCCAUCCGGACACGAGACGAAGUCUUCAAUCUUGUAUCUUCAUAGUCUAAUAGUCCGGCCAAUGGAGAUAGCCCGGCUGUCCAGAGACCCCCUAAUCCAGGACUCCCUCACUGGUGCUGGAAAGAUAUGUUCAGAGAAGGACGACAUCAGGAGAAAAUAAGUAAUAGCAAGGCAGUCUUGAUGAUGGCACUUAUCAAGAACAAGACAUGCAUUCUCUUUUGUGUUGCUCUUUUGUUGACGUGUACCACUUUUCUGUGUGGCCUAGCGGCAAUGGGGAGGGACAUAGGUAAUUUCCAAAUUAGUUUCCUAGAUGAGUUUCUUGAUAUAAAACAGAUCCGAAUGAUUAUGUAUCAUUCUUUCCAUACAAAUUAAUUUGUAUGCUGUGGUGCUUCCUUCAUUGUGUUUAGGUACUAAGGCUCCAUUUGGAAUCCAAUGUUUUACUUACUCAGUGUGCAUGGACUCAUAUCAGUAAGCCGUUGAUUACUGCAACAAGGAGUGCAAAAUACUUGGUUAUGACGGUCAGAAAGGGUACUGCAAGAAGGAGAAUCGUGGCAUGUGUUGUUGUACCUAAAGUUAAAGACAUGUUAUAUUGUCAUUUUGUAGAAAA